UUUAUAAUUUUUUUGUUUAGUAUAAUCUAAUUUUUAUAUUCUUUACUAUAAAAAUUUAAAAUAUAUAAAUAAUUUUUAAAUAGUUUAGGCUGUUUGUAUUAAAUAUAAAUUUUAAUUUUAUUAGAUUGAGCAUUUAGAUAUAAAUUAUACAUUAAAAAAUAAAAGAAAAAUUGCUGAAGUUUAAGUAAUUUUAUAUUUUAUAAAAUUUAGUUGUGAGAAUCGUAUAAAAUAUAUUAAAUAAAUUUGUAAAGCUAAACGAUAUAUUCAGAUUUUUGAAGUCAAAGUACCCAUUGACUGACUCAAAUCUAAUAUAUAGAAAAUUUGGAUAAUCAAAACAAAAUUUUGGAAGAUUGGAUAAAUACUUUUUAUCUUUAAAACUAUAAGACGAGUGACACUUUAAUCCCCGAACUGUAAUACGUUAUGAUUUAAACUAUAAGGCAUGCGGCAUUUUCAUCUUCAAACUUUAAUUAGUUACAAUUUUUGACUUGAAAUAUUAGGUAUAUUAUUUUAGUUCUCAACGUUUAUUGCUGCUAUAAAUAUCAUUAUUAUUCGUAUGGUUUUUGCUCUUAUUUUUUUUAAUCCUUAUAAUUUAUUCUUAUUUUUUUUAUUGCAGCAAUAGUUGCUUAUUCUUCAGUUGCUUCUUUUUUUAUAUAAAUUCUUGACUCUUUGUUUUUACUUUUUUUUAUUUUAUUUGUUUAUUUAUUUAUACAUAAUUGUCCCGCCGCAACGCGCGGGUCCUUCACUAGUACAUCAUAAAGACGAUGAAGGUUUUUUCUUUCUUUACUAGGUUUCUUUUUUGAAUUAUUUUUCAGAAGAAAUAGUUUUUGAAACUCUUAUAAAUUAGAUCAUGAAUUUAAAAUAAAAAGGUUAAAGAAUCAGGAAGAGAAGAGAACAAGAAUAGUGAAGAAGAAAAAAGGGAGAUCUCCAACAACGAAAAAAAACAAGAAAGUGAGCAAAAAAGAUGAUUUUUUUUUUUUUUUUUUCCCACUCUUCCUCUCUCACAAGUGUGAGGCAUUUCCCUAUUCUUCAAUUCUCUUCUUUCGAACAAAGAGAGGAGAGGUGUGCGCUUCCUUCCAUCCCCCCAACCCCCCUCCCUCAACCCCCACAAAAAAGGGGAAAAAAUUUGCAAGGAGGUACCGUGGCCUUAUGUUCUUCUUCGAUGAUGACCACGGCGGCGGUAGUGGUAGCGGUAGCGAUGACGACAUGUAGGAGAUCCCAUGGCCUUCCUCUUCUCUGACAAUGGCGAUGCGAGAGGAGGCCUUGUGGCUUUUUCUUCGAUUUAUCGGCGGCAUCAACUGUGCACGAGGGCCCACGGUUUGUCCCUUUCUCUUUGGUGACGAUAGCGACUUAAAGGCUAUUCAGGCAGCAAGAUAGCAACGGGAUGAUGAAUGCACGUAAACGACAUAGUAACUAUCUUAUUAUCGGUUUAAUCGAUAGUCAUCUUCGUGAUAGGCUCGACACAAGCAAAAUUGACACUAGGCUGUGUUUGUUGUCAUAAGCAUGCAUUCACUAUCAUCAAGUAGCUGUGAAUUAUGACCCAAAAUCAACACGUGCACACAAAUGAUAUGACGACGAUCCUCGUGUCAGGGUGAUCGAGCGGCCGUCUUCGUGAUACGCUUGACAAGAUCAAACUUGAUAUUGGAUCGUUGCCCUUGCUGAACCCAUGUUCAUGUCUACUAUACCGAGCACCCAUUUUCGUGAUAGGCUCAACAUGGUCAAAUCCCUAUUUGAACCACAAUAAUAAUGAAAGUUAAAAAAUACGUAAAAAAAUAAAAUGAAUAAAAGAUAAAAUAAAGAAAAAUAAAAAAUAUCUGCCUUGGAUCGCCGUCUUCAUGAUAGGCUUAAUCUGUUCGACUUAGACCAAAUCUUUGUCUUUGUGAUAGGCUCGAUUUGGGUUCGUCUUCAUCGAAUCACUGUCUUCGUGAAACUUGAUUUGGUUUAGCUUACACCAAAUCACCGUCUUGGUGAUAGGCUUGUUUUGAGUUCGUUUUCACUGAAUCGGUGUCUUCGUAAUAGGUUUGAUUUGGGCUUGUGUUCAGCAAAUCGCCGUCUUCGUGAUGGACUUGUUUCGGUUCAGCUUAAACCAAAUCGUCGCCUUUGAAACUUGAUUUGGUUUAGCUUAAACCAAAUCACCGUCUUGGAGAUAGGUUUGUUUUGAGUUCGUUUUCACUGAAUCGGUGUCUUCGUAAUUGGUUUAAUUUGGGCUUGUGUUCAGCAAAUCGCCGUCUUCGUGAUGGGCUUGUUUCGGUUCAGCUUAAACCAAAUCGUUGCCUUUGUAAUUGGCUCGAUUUUGUUUGUUUUCACUGAAUCGCCAUCUUCAUGAUAGGCUUAAUUUGGAUUCAUUUUCACCAAAUCACCGUCUUCGUGAUAAGCUUAUCCGGUUUGGGUGAAACCAAAUCACCGUCUUUUUGAUAGGCUCGAUUUGGGUUUCGUUUUCACCGAAUUGCUGGUCUUCGUGAUAGGCUUGAUUCGGUUUGGCUUAAAACAAAUGGUCGUCUUCGUGAUCGGCUGGAUUUUGGUUUGUUUCAUCGAAUCGCGGUCUCCGUGAUAGGUUUGAUCUUGUUCGACUUAAACCAAAUCGCCGCCUCCGUGAUAUGCUCGAUUUGGGUUUGCCUAAACCAAAUCGCUGUUUCGUGAAGGGUUUGAUUUGGAUUCACCUUCACCAAUUCGUCGUUUCCAUGAUAGGCUUGAAUCGAUUCGAACCAAAUUGCUGUCUCCGUGAUAGACUCGAUUUGGGUUUUUUUUCACCGAAUCACCGUUUUCGUGAUAGGCUUGGUUCGGUUUGACUUAAAACAAAUCGUCGUCUUCAUUAUAGGCUUGAUUUGGGUUUGCCUAAACCAAAUCACCGUCUUUGUGAUAGAUUUGGUUUGAGUUCACCUCUGUCGAUUUGCUAUUUUCAUGAUAGGCUCGAUCCAGUUUAUUUUAAAUCAAAUUGUGUGAUAGGCUUGAUUUAGGUUUGUUUUCAACUUUACAUCAUACCGUUGUCUUCGUGAUAGGCUUGAUCCGGUUGUUUUAUACCAAAUUGCCGUCUAUGUGAUAGGCAUGAUGGUUCGACCAACUAAACCACCAUUUCAUGAUACUUUUGGAUGGGUUUGUCUAACCAAACCAUCGGGAAUGUAUUUGAUAAAUGGUUCAUGAUCUUGACGUGAGUUUUCAACUCAAACCGAACCAAAUUACUCACGCUAACAAUCGUAUUCAGACUGAACCCAACAUGAAGAUAAUUCGGGAUGAAUAUAAUUGAGGAAUGAUUUGGAACCUAACAUAAAUGGUGAACCAAACAAUAAUGAUGGAUCAAACCUAAAGUAGUGAACCUAUAACAAUGAAUCAAGUCAAGAGUAUGAAUCAAACAAUAGUAAGCCAACUGUAAACCAAACUUGCAGCAGUGAAUCAAAAUUCAAGAUAAUAAAUCAUACUCAAGAAUCAAAAUUCAAGAUAAUAUACCAUACUCAAUCGAAGGUGAACCGGACCUUAGAGGUUGUUGAACCUGAUCAUACCGUACGACGGUUUAAUCCGAGUUGGAUUAUAAAGGGUUCAAGCUGAGUGGAACUGAACCACAAAGCUGGUUGAACCUGAGCUGAACUACAAGAAGUCCGAGUUGAGCCGAACCCAACUCAUUUUGACCUAAACGGAAUUAUAAAGGAUCCAAUUACAACCGAAUUAUAAACUGGUUCAACUUGAACUGAACCACUGAAGGUUCUACCCGAACUGAACCAAAUUAUAGACCAGUACAGCUUAAGCCAAAUUAUAAAGGAUUCAAGUUGAGCCAAAGCAGAUUCAACUCAAAUUAAACCACAGAAAAUUCAAACUAAGCUGACCUGGUACAACUUGAACCGAAUUAUAAGCCGAUUCAACCUAAACCAAACUACAGGAGGUCCACGCCUCACCAAAUCAAACCACAAGCUUAUUGGAUCUAAAUCGAACCAUAAAGGAUUCAACUUGAACCAUGAACCAGUUCCACAUGAGGUCUGAGCUACAAGCCGAUUCGACUCGAACUGAAUCAUAGGAGAUUCGAGCCGAUUUUAUUUGAACCACUUCGAUUUAAAACCAAACUAUAAAGGAUUCAACUUGAACCAAACUAUAAGCUAGUUCAACCCGAACUGAAUCAUAGGGGAUUCCAAGCUUAGUCAAAUCAUAAAGGGCUUGACUUAAAUAACAAAUUAAAAGAGUUCAAGUUAAGCUGAACCAUAAGGGGUUCGACUUAAAUCAAACUCAAAAGGGGUCCAAGCUGAGCUGAAUCAAAGGGCUCAACUCAAAUUAAAGUAAAGCAAGGUUCAAACUGAGCCAAACCAUAAAGCCUCGACCCGAGCCAAGUUCAAGAGGGCCUUAAACCAAGGCAAACCAAUAUUCAACAGGGAUUGAACCAAGUCAUAAGGGUUCAACCCAAACUAAAAUUCAAGGGAAUCUGAGGCGAACCAAGCCAACCUAUGAACUGGUUCAGCCUAAACCUAAUAAAGGUUCAAAUCAAACCGAAACUCAAACUAGUUUUAACUUGAACCUAACUCGAAUAAAGGUUCAGACCAAAAUCAAUCAGCUGAGUUUAUCCAUAUUGACUCACAAGUCAAACUCAUUUUAACUUGACCGCCAAGUCCUUUAGCUAUGCAAGUCAAAUUAAACUCACCCCAAGUUGACCACCAAGUUGUUAAACUGAGCAAGUCAAACCAAACUUAACCCACCUUGACCACCAAGUCAUUAAACUAAGCAAGUUAAAUAAAAUUCAAUCCAACUUGACCGCUAAGUCAUUAAACUAAGCAAAUUAAAUCAAACUCAUUUUAACUUGACCGCUAAGUCGUUAAACUGAGCAAAUCUAUCUCAAUUGACCGUCAUGUCAUUAAACUGAACGGCACAAUUUCGAUCAACCGCCAAGUCCAUAAACUAAGCAUUUUAAUUUGACAAAGUUCAUGGACAGUGGGGGUAUGCCUUUGCAUUAGCCAUGCACCUAGCAAAUUAUUAUAUUAAUAAAAUUUCAUCUUUACACUUUGGUUUCUUUUUUUAUUAGUAUUUAUAUUUGGUUUCUUAAUCGAGGGUUUCUUAACACUGCGAAUGUGAGGUAAUAACAGUAGAUUCUUGAGUCUAUCGGAAGUUAUGAACCUACAAACCUGAUAAAAAAAAUCAAACUUUAAUCAAAUUUGAUCUGUACUAUGAAUGACCACUCAUCGGAAAAAGACUUGUGGCUGGUCGGGCCGUUUGUGGUACUUUGACUAAGAUUGGUUUUCUAUCAUGAAUAUUCUCUAUUAACAUUCUUAUCAUCCCUGGCUUUGUUUGGAGACUUUUGCAUGGAUAUAUAUAUAUAUAUAUAUAUAUAGAGUGAGGCUACUAUGCUUCUGGAAGCACGGAGCCUUCCGUGCUUCCAGGUUGUUUUUCAUGUUGCGACUUUCGAAUCGUCGAUCGGCUCCGUUAAACUUGAUCUAGAGUAUUUGAAGUACGUAGAAAAUAAAUUAUGUGAUUUUUUGAUAUUAUUUGCCUAGUGAACGAAGGGGCUCAAAAUCAACGGCUGAAAAUAAAAAUCUUACAAAACGUGAUAAUAUGACAUUAAAAUUUUAGAUCAAAGAUAUUGAUCUUGUUUUAUAUAGUAUAAAGAAUUUUCUAUCAAAAUUUCACGUGAUUUGGAUAUUUCUACACCGUUAAACUUGCAAACGGCUCACUACGGCCAUUGAAAUUUGUUGAUUUUGAGCCCAUUCGAUCACUAGGCAAAUGAUAUCGAAAAAUAAUAAAAUUUAUUUUCUAGGUACUCCAAAUACUCUAGAUCAAGUUUAACGGAGCCGAUCGNCCAUCUGAGCCAACAAAAAGAUAAGGGGGAAAAAAUUAAAGCACUUGCAACUUAGCUGGAAUAAAAGGGAAAAGGAAAGAAAGAAAUUAAGAUACACACACACACACACACACACACACACAUAUAUAUAUAUAUAUAUAUAUAUGCUGUUAUACUAUCAAUAGUACCAAGCCCUUGGUACUAUUGAGUUUUCAGCCGUUGGAUAAAAAGAUGUGCGGUUAGGAUGAUAGUGGUCCCCGAUUAAAUUGAUAGUGGUCCCCUAGGGUUGAGUGGGUGGUUGGUUUAAUAGUAUAAUCUAACGGUGGGAAAUGAUCAAAGGGUAGAUCUAACGGUAGAAAACUCAAUAGUACCAAGGGCUUGGUAUUAUCGAUAGUAUAGUAGCCGUACCCGUUAGAUUAUAUUAUUCAACCAACCACCCACUCACUCAACCCUAGGGGACCCACAUCAUCCUAACCGCACAUUUCUUAAUCCAAUAUAUAUAUAUAUAUAUAUAUAUAUNUAGGAGGGGACCACAUUCAUCCCCGUACAAUUCUUGAUUUAAGAGUCAAAAAGUCAUAAACAUCAAAUUCUCUAUAUUUUCGAUAAAAUAGUAUAUAUAUAUAUAUAUAUAUAUAUAUAUAUAUAUAUAUAUAUGUAUUGUCUAAUCAUGCCCUCUUCUUGAUUGCGUCACCUUUGGCUAGUGUUAUUGGUUGGGCUUGACCUGGGCUCUGGUCAGGAGAGAUGAGGACUUGGGGCUAAUCUUAGUUGUUCUGGGUGUGUUUUCAGGAGGUUGGGGUGUUUGAGAGGGAGCAGGUCAGUGUGAUAAUAGAGUAGCGUGUGCAUAACCAACACGAAAUAACAAAAUUGAAUAAAGUUGUUUGUUUUGGUUCUGAUUGCUUCUGUCUUUUUGAAGUUGGUUUUAAUAACUAAUCUAAUGACGUUGGUUUGUUUUAAGUUUAUAAACAUGUAAACUGGCUUUAAGCAGAACACAAUUGGUCACAUAUGUUACAUAUAUGAAAUACAACUAUAACUGAACCGAUUUCAAAGAGAAGCAACUGAUCAGCCCAAAAAAAGAAAAUCAUUUAGAGCCAUUAGCUUUGGGACUUGAACCUAGAUUAACUGGAAGAAAUGUUUUUCAACUGGACCAUAUGUUCUUUCUAUGCCUUGUAGUGUUAACUUGAAGUCAUUUGAGUUUGGUCUGCUGGAUUACUCCGUGAAGAGCUUUCUUGGAGUUCUUAAAGAGUACUGGAUGAGAUUUGCUAGUGAAAAUGUCUUCUUAGUUGAUGAAGGGUCCUAAGGGAGUGCCACUGGCUAAAAAAAUUGUUAGCAAUAGGGAUAUUAUUUCUUUGUCAACUGUAAAAAACAAGUUUGCUGGCAGAGUUUUCGGCAAGAACGCUUAAUUCACUUUACUGCAUUGAUCUUUAGGGGUAUUUUUCGCUGUCAACAAUAUACUUUUGUUUCUUUGGUCAAAUCCAUUUUUGGACUUCUGCUGUAAUAGAAAUUCCACAUCUCUUUUCUGCAGAGAAAAGAUCCACUAAAAUUUCUUUGGAGUGAAUAGAUGUGAAUAAAGUGGAUCCAGGUCUGUUCUCUGGAUUAUUCUUAAGUUUUUCUCCUCUGUAAGUGUUGUUGUUGGAAAUCAGUCACUGCAUCCAAUCCUAUCAGACUUGAAUUCCAUCAGACCCAAAUCUGAUUGGAUGAAAUCCAAUUUAAGUAUGGUCACCGGACAAGUGAGGCUGGAAGGCUUUAAUAGCGGCCAUGAAUAUAUGUCAGUUUUCUGAGAAGGAUAAUAGUUUAUAAAUAGCCUUUCUGCUUUUUAUCCUCUCUCUCUUUAAACUAGGUAUCUUUUUCCAGUUUUAAUACAUCAUCUGGAAGCUUGUUAAUGCUUUCAUUGGAUCCAUUAGUAUCUGCCAAAAUCUUGGUUCAAAACAGUUCAAAGCAGCUACAUAUCAGGUGCUGUUGUAGUGUAAGGGCUGCCAUACCACCCCUUCAUGAACCUAAGCACCAUGAUAUGCUGUCAAGAUUUGUAGCAUGGUAGGAUCAAAUGGAUCAGAGAAAAACUGGAGAAUCAAUAUGUUGGAUCCAAAUUUCUGAAGUAAAUGACAUGUGGAUGUAAUUAAGGAUGGCUGAGAAAAUGGCCGCGCUAAUCAGCACAAAGUUUCAUUAGUCAUGCUGAUGGCUUCCACAGCUUAUGCAUGCAAGUCGAGUGGCUUCAUGUGGUGCUGCUUUCUGCUGCCUAUUUGUUGCUUCGUGGUGCAAAGCUGUUGCUGCGUGCCGCUUCAUUCCACUCAGACCUGCGGCUGCAUACCAUUGACACAGAGCAGCAUGUUGUGUCGGCACAGAGAGCCAUGGGUGCAAUUAUAGAUGACAAUUUAAAAGAGAAUGUUAGAGAGAUUAAGAUCAAAUGAUGAGUACCAUCAAAACUGUAUUUUGGGAGCAGAUUGUUAGGAUUGUUAAUGCUUAUGCAUCAUAUAUUAGUUGCAUGUAUAUAUUGAUACUUCCUCUUUUUCGAAAUAGAAGUAGAAUAAUCCUGGAUACUUGCGAGUGAGAAGAUUUAGAGUAGAUUUGAACUGUCUUGUCAGCAAAAGGGCAGGGGAAUGCGAAUAAUAUGUUUAGGCUGCAUUUAAGAGAGACAGUGACGUGCAAUUGGUCUUUGCUUUUUUUUUUCCCCCCACUUUUUUAAAUGAUCUUCUGAUUGCAAGUAAUUACUCUAAUAAAGGUGAUCACAGUUUGCUUAGUUGAAAUGUCAUUAAAUUGCAGUCAGGUAGAUGUCUUACCUACUAGUCGGGUUGAUAAAUUUGAGAACAAACUUAAGAAAUUGAGAACUGUGGUGAAACAACUGUGAAACUAUGUACCUGAUCUGAAGUGUAAUGUUUGUGAUUUAUUGGAUGCUGGACUGAGAAUGUGCUUGAUAGUUCUUUUGCAGAUUCAUGUGCUGAUAAAGUUUACAAGCAUUUUAUUAGCAUUAUUCUUCAUGUAUAUUGAAAUUAGCGUGCCAGUGACUACUUUGCUAUCGUCAAAACUUGAUAUGCUUCAUAGAUUCAAACCCUGAUUUACUUUGUAGAUACGUACCUUGAUCAAGAAAACAUGCUUAUACUAUUGUUACUUAUCUUAUGCAUAUAUGAUAAGAUAGAUUUGUUAAGGUGUUUGCUAGACUACCUUCAUCAGAUAUUGACUGAUGUAUUGGAUGAUAUUCGUGUUAUGUAAUUUCUAAAGUUUUGAUGUAAAUCAAACCCUGGAGUUCCAAUUUCAGAAAUUUCUGUUGUUUUAGCAGUUUCCAUUUUCUAUAUCGGUAUUUGGUUUGAAAGCUUUCGGAUUUUAUACUGGUAUUUGGUUAGCCAUAGUCUUCAACUUCCGAAAUCAUGUGAUCUCACGAUAAUUUGAUAUGGGAAGAGAUACUUUAUUUUAAUUUUAUGAAGAGCAUUGCUUAGUUUGUGUAACAAUCUACUAAAGAGAUCAAUGCACAAGCAAUAUUAUAACAAUACGUGAAUAGAUUAUAUUUCCCACCAUCAGCUAGUUUCAGCCACGUUGAGCUGAUGCUCUGAAGGGCUUUUUCUUUGGGAUGUUCUUGUAGGAAUCGAAAUAUAUCAAUUUCAUUGUGGUCUCAGAAGCCAGUUUUUGUUUGGAGGUUAGAUAAUCUUAAUCCAAAUUAGGGUUGGGCUUGGAAGGCUCCUAAUACAUUGGCAACUGACUGAAAUCAAAGCAUUUUCGUUUUGGUUUUGUAGUUUCCUUGGCAACUUCAUGAACUGGUUUAUCUUCUUGCUUCUAGUGACACAUGAAUCCUAGUGACAUGUUGAACUAAUAGAGAACAAACUAGUGGAUUGGACAUAGAAAACAUUAUGAACAUUGAAUUAAAUGAUGCAUUGGUUGUCAUUGUGAUAUUGAAUGUGAACCUUGUGAUAGAACUGUGAAUUGGAUAUAAUGUGUUGUGCAUGAAAGGGUUAUGGCAUGAAUUAUUCUUAUGAUUAGCAUUUGCUGCUGCGGAAUAAGGCCCCCUUCCGGGGGGGCCCGAGCCAUCAGUGAGGGAAUUCAUUAGAGGAAUGUUUCCAAUAAAAACGGUUCUUUGACUGUAAGAUUAUGUUUGUUUUGAAUGUGGCCCUUGUAGACGUGUUUACAAAUAAUUUGGAACUUUUUUCUUCUAUGUUUCUCUUAUUUUUGUCUGUUACGAUAUUUGUGUUUUGAACGUCGGCCUGGUAUACAUGUUUACAAGAAAUUUAGAACAAAAUCCCUGCAUUUAGUGUUAGAAGAAAAAGUUUGGAAGUUAACCGUCAUGCCCCAGAUUCGAGGCGUAACGGAUGCUGUAUAUAUACUAGAAGAGUAAAUAUGUAGUAUGAGAAAAGAACAAAACAGAAACAGAUAGAAACAGAUGGUAAUGUAUAAAACACUAAGGGUGCGUUUGAUUCAAGUUAUGUAAUAUUACAAAGUAUUUCAAUAUAUUCAUAUAUCUUGGAUUUCUAAAUGAGAUUACUACUUAUGUUGCAUGAGUGCGUUUGGUUUAAUAUGGUAAUGUAAUGUUGGAUUGUAGUGUUUAAUUAUAGCAUUACUAUAUUUGGUUUUGUCUAUAAAAUUCAGUAAUCUAGACAAUAAAGUAUAGUCUAUUCUAAAAUUGCCUUUAGCCAUAUUUUGUAAACUUUUUUUUAAUUGUUUACAAAUAAUAUUUUUUUACUAAAUUUUAUUAUUAAUAAUUUAAUUUUUUAAAAUUUAAAAUUUAAAAUUUAAAUUUGAACUAUGAAAUUUAUAAAUUUAAAAUCUAAAAUAUAAAUAUAAAAUUAAAAAUUAAAAAUCUUAAUUUAAAAUUAAUAAUAUUAAUUUUGGAACUUAUCCAAAAGUUGGUGGCCCUUUAAAAAAAAAAUUUCGAGAACUUAUCUCUAUAGCAUCAUCAUACAGAUAAAAAAUAAGUACUUAUAUUAAAAUUUAAUUUGAAAAACGUUGACGCUGCACAAAACACAUUUCUUUACAUGACCUUAGUUAUUACAUCACUUUUUGCAGAAUAAAAUCUACUACAUCACUAUAAAGAUGUAAAUUUGAAAAAGAAAUGUAUUAUAAGAAUAAAACCUACUACACCUUGCGUUACGGAUUGGGUGCAAGUCGGAUACAACGGAUGUAAAUCGAAGAGGGCUACCAGAGUCCUCUUCUAUGUCCACAUUUCAAAACUUCGGAAAUGUAGGUAGAAAUAUCAGAGAGAGGAGAUCUUAGAAAAGGGACCUAUUUAUAGAAUAAUGGAACCCCUGAAUAUCCUGAAUCUUACAUAGAGAUUAAGAUAAGGAUUAGGAUUAGAAUAUCUAUUAACAUAUAAUAGAUAAUUAUUAAGAGAUAUGUUUCCUAACUGAUAAGAAAUAUAUAAUUUAUUUUUAUCCUAAACUUAUUAGAAUAAAUCAGGAUCCAUAUCUUAUGUGGAUCAGGUUAAAUCAUGAUCCGCCAAUAUGGACAUACCAUAUUGCAACACUCUCUAGCUCUAAUCUGGUUUGCUAGAUUUUCAAAGGCUAUAUUACCUCAAAUUAUGUGGCGUUCAACAUUUUGGGUUUUCAAAUAUUAUGUUAUAAUUUUUGGUUUGAAUUAUUUUAAUAUUUUCUAUCUCUAAUUCUUUUAUAAAUAAAAUUUUAUAAAAGAAUUUAAUCACUAAUAGCUUAUGUGAAAGCGGGGAUUAGCCGUGGGGUUACCGAGCACACAUCAAAUCCACACAGCAUACGAGCGCAAGGAAUAGGAUCUUUCGUAGACGUAAAAGAUGAGAACGAUCGUAGAGAAACAAUCACGAAAAUAAUAAAGCAAUAGAAGGAACAAGAAAAGACAAUAACACAAAAUUUACAUGGUUCGGCCAACAAUGAGUCGACCUACGUCCACGGGCAAGACCACCUCAAUGCGUUCUUCGAUUAAUCCACGGCACAAAAGUACAAGGAGUAGAUUGGAUUACAAGAAACUCUCUCUCAAGAGCUCUCCACGUUUUCUUCUCAAUUAGGGUAUCUACAAUGAAGCACUCAUGAGAAACCUCCAACAACGAGGCUCUAACUCAAAAGAACAAUUAUAAGGGUUAAUAUAAUCCUAAACUCCAAUUCAAGUAGUAAACGAUCUCCGCCGUCCAUCUGUGCCAUCGAUUCAUAUCUAGCUGUCGAUUUCCUCUUAAAAAUCCUUUUUGUAGCGAUCCUGGACCAUCACUAAUCUUUUGGAACAAGAUUAGAUCCAAUUGGAAUCAAAUUCUGCAUAUUCAACCCGUUGCAGAACUGUGUACCGAUACUCGAAGUCGCGUAUCGGUACUUAAUACAAAAAUAGAUAACUACGUACCGGUACUCAGAAUCACAUAUCGGUACUCAGUACAAAAGCAAUUUUUUCAGCUCUCGGGUUCUGAGGAACUACUGAGGAACUGCUGAGGAACUCAAUAGUACCAGUACUAAAACUUCAAGUUUCGGUACCCAACAUCCAAAAACCUCAAAACUUCGAUUUUUGCACCAUGAAAUCGACUCGGAACAUAGCUUUACAUAAUCCAACAAUGCUCCCACUUUAAGACAUGUGCCGAAUAUCAUAGAUUACCACAAAAUUUAGUCUUGCCAAACUCCCACUCUCCUUACGUAGCUCCAAGACCGAGAUAAGUUAUGCUUCAAUUGAACUUCGUUCGAGUCACCGGCUUCAUCAAAAUAUCCACUUGAUUUGCAUCGGUAUGAACCUUCGACAAUGAGAUAAGACCUUCAUACACCAUAUCUCGUACAAAGUGAUAGUGAAAAUCAAUGUGCUUUUGUCCGAGAGUGAAACGCCGGAUUCUUUGACAAGUGCAUCGCACUUUGACUAUCACAAUUUACUCUCACUACACCUGGCUUCACUUUCAAUUCUCCUAGAAGAUUUUUCAACCAAAUAGACUCCUUAUAAGCAUGUGCCAUUGCCAUGUACUUCGCCUGCGUCAUAGACAAAGCGACCAUUGACUGAAGCUAUGACUUCCAACUAAUAGCACCACCGCCCAUAGAGAAAAUAUAGCCCGUGGUAGACUUUCUCCUAUCUCUAUCUCCUGCGAAAUCUAAAUCCACACAUUCGGCACACUCUAAACCUGCAGAACCAUAAGAGAGUGAAAAAUCCGUAGUACCCCUCAAAUACCUAAGGAUCCACUUCACUAUAUUCCAAUGUUCACAACCCUGAUUCGUCAUAUACUAAUUUACUGCUCGCACUACUGCUUGAGCAAUGUCUGAUCUCGUGCACACCAUGGCAAACAUAAGGCUCCCUACUGCCGAUGAAUAUAGUACCCGAGCCAUGUCGGCCUUUUUCGCUUCCGUAUCCGGUGAUUGUUCGGCCAACAACUUUAAAUAAAUAAGAAACAUGGUAGAAACUGGCUUUGCGUUCUGUAUGUUGAAGCUCCGCAGAACCUUCUCCACAUAACCCUUUUGUGAAAGCCAAACCUUCCCAUUCUUCCUCUCCCACAGUACCUUCAUCCCGAGUAUUUGAUUCACAGCUCGUAGGUCCUUCAUAUCAAACUCACUGGCUAACUUAGUCUUCAGGGUAGAUAUCCGGCUUUUGCUGUUUCUCGCGUCUACCAUGUCGUCGACGUACAAUAGUAAUAUACAGAAGCUUCCAUCAUUUUAUCCAUAGAAAUAUGCACAAUGAUGCGCUUCAAGCCUAUCAAAACCCGAACUCACAAUAAAGGAAUCAAAUCGCUUGUACCAACACCUUGGGGCCUAUUUCAAUCCGUAUAAUGAUUUGUUCAACUGACAAACAAAAUGUUCCUUGCCUCUUUCGACAAAGCCAUCUGGUUGCGACGUAUAUAUCUCCUCCUCUUGGUCACCAUGCAAGAAUGUCAUUUUCAUAUCCAUCUGUUCGAGCUCCAAAUCUAUGACUGCCGCGGUCACCAAAACGACCUGAAUAGUGGUAAGACGAACCACCGAUGAGAAGAUCUCAUCGAAGUUAAUCCCCAGCUUCUGAGCAUAACCCUUCACUACCAACCUCGCCUUGAAUCUCUCGACAUCCCUGUUCGCAUUCUUUUUCACCUUAAAUACCCACCGGCAUCCAAUCGCAUUCAUUCCCUUUGAUAAAUCAACAAAUUCCUAAGUCCUGUUCUGCCGAAGUGACUCCAUCUCCUCCUCCAUCACGCAUUGCCACUUUCCAGCAUCGGUCAACUCACAAGCCUCCAUAUAUGAAGUUGUCUUAUCUUCCUCCGCCAAAGCAAUAUAUGCACUAACAUGGUUAGCAAAAUGAUUAAAUGAAGUAAUAGAGUCAUCAUACCUCGCGGGAGGUCUAAUGACUUUCCUAGGACGCUCAAAAUCUGCUGGUGGCUCCACCGAUGAAUUUGUAUCUUCAGAUGAUUGUGGAGACUCCAAGUCCGAUUCAUUAUCAACCACCUCGUCGUCUUACUGUGCUUGCUCAACUUGCAUCUCAUCACAUGCUUCAAACAGCUCAAUUGGAACCAUAGCAUCAUCAUCAUGCUUUUCCUUGGUGCCUUGAAAGGACCCUUCAUUGAAGACAACAUCACGGCUUACGACAAUCCUGUGGGUAGUAGGGUCCCACAAUUGAUACCCCUUAAUGCCUUUUGCGUAGCCGAGAAAUAUACACCUCCGAGAGUUCUUAUCCAAUUUUGAUCUCUUCUCUUUUAGUAUCCACGCAUAAGCGUCACAUCCAAAAACAUGAAGAUAGGAGUAGUCAACGGGCUUGCCGCUCCAAACUUCCUCAGGAAUUUCCAAAUCAAGCGAUUUUGUCGGUGCUCGAUUGAUUAAAUAACAAGUGCUCACGACUUCUGCCCAAAAUCUCUUGUUGAGUUUUGAAGUAUUCAACAUGCUCUGAGUCCUCUCUAUGAGUGUUCUAUUUAACCUCUCCUCUACACUAUUUGUUGUGGUGUACCGGGUACCGUGAGGUGCCGCUUAAUUCUAUGUUCACUACAAAUCUCAUCAAAUUCUCUUAAACAAUACUCCCCUUCGCUUUUCGAAUGUAGGCACUUAAUUUUUAAACCCUUUUCAUUCUCUACAAAAGCUUUAAAUUUCUUAAAAGUUUUAAACACGUCGGACACACCCAAGCCUUCCGAGAAUAAUCAUCAAUAAAGAAAAUAAAAUAAGAACACCUGCCCAACGAAAUAUCGGGUGACUCCUAAGUAUUCGAAUGAAUUAACUAGAGAAACGACUUACUUCUUUGAUGUGAUAAAGAGACUGAUAACCUCCGUUGCUUCUCGUAGACGCAAUCUUCAUAGAAAUCCAAUGGCGUGGACUUGUGACCUGAAAGAAGUUCACGGUUAGAUAACACCUGCAAUCCGCACUUGCCCAUUGUCCCAAACGGCGAUGCCAAACUGUCGGAGACUCCACCUUUGCGCUUGCAACAACCGCUUCUUCCACUCUAGUCUUGCCUACCAAUCUGUAUAGGCCACCUAAUUGCUCUCCUUUUAUCAACACCAAACAUCCAUAACAUAUCUUCAAAUGAUCCUUCUCGCCGACGAACCUAAGCCUUUGUUUGCAAAAUAUUUCAACAGAUAGAAGACUUUUUCGAAGUGCAGGAACAUGCCAAACAUUAGAAACUGUCUGAAUAACACCAUCAAACAUCUUGAUCCGAACGUCUCCUACUCCUACCACCGGACACACUGUGUUGUCACCCAAAUAGAUGACUCCACCAUCCCAUAGCUUGUAAGUAUGAAACCACUCCCUAUAGGGAGUCAUGUGGAAUGACGCCCCCGAAUCCAGGAUCCAAUGAUAAAUAAGAUCGGAUCUAUCCAAUGCUGACAAUGCAUCUCCAUCCUUUGAACUAGCCGGCUUAGAAUCCGCUUCGGCUACGUUACCUUGGAAGUUUCUUGAAUCGAAUUUACUAUCAACUCCUUUAACCCGGCAAUCCUUAUUCACGUUUCCCAACUUUCCACAAUUCCAGCACUUUACUUUCUUUUUGCCCUUGGAUUUUGAUCUUGACUUUCCUCGAUCAUCACACUCCCUUUCAAAAGGUCUUCCCCGUGCUUUUAUAGCCUCCCUCAAAGAGCUUCGUUGGCUUAACUUCUGCCUUAUCUCCUCGGUAAGCAACAAUGCAACCACCGACUCCGUCUUAAAGGUUUCAACAUGGCUCAAGUUCAUGAUCAAAUUAUCCCAAGAUUUCGGCAUCGAACAAAGUAAAAUACUUGCCUUUUCUUCUUUAUUGAUUCUCACGUCUAGGGCCGCAAGCUUGGUUACAAUAGAGUUGAAUGAAUUUAGAUGCUCUUGUACUGAUACCUCGUUCUACAUCUUUAGACUGUACAAUUGCCGUCUCAAGAAGAUUUUGUUCACUAAUGACUUUCCUUCAUAGAGAUUUCUCAAUUUAUCCCAAAUUUCUUUUGUGGUUGUUGGAAAUAAUAGGGCAGCGGAAACUUACAAACCGGAUAGCCAACGUAUCCGGGAACCCAAAUCGGAUCGGUUUGCCUGUUUUACAAGCCUUCUUGGAUCGUCCUUGUCUCGAUGCUUUUGGAUCUCACACGUUUCUCGCAUUCUCCCACGCGUACGCCUUACGCCACGGAUCGGAUGUAGAUCUGAUGCGACGGAUGCCAAUCGAAGAGGGCUACCAGAGUCCUCUUCUAUGUCCACACUUCAAAACCCCCGGGAACGUAGGUGGAAAUUCCAGAGAGGAAGAAGAGAGAGAAUAAGAAAGAUAUUUCGUGAGUUCUUACGAAUUUGAUCGUAUUCAAUUGUCUCUCAUGGGAGAAAACAAGGGACGUAUUUAUAGAAUAACAGAACCCGUAAAUAUCAUGAAUCUCAUAUAGAUUAGGAUAAGGAUUAGGAAAUCUAUUAAUAUAUAAUAGAUAUCCACUAAUAGAUACAUUUCUUAACUGAUAAGAAACAUAUAAUUUAUUCUUAUCCUAAACCCAUUACGAUAAAUCACAAUCCACAUCUUAAGUGUAUCGGGACACGCCAAUGUGGACACACCACAUGACUACAAUCUCCCACUUGGCCACAUUGGCCAAUUAUCUCUCACUCAUUCAUCUCUUCAUACGGGUAAUGGAGCGUGCGACCUGACGAAAGAAAUACAUGCAGGAGUGCUAUAUUAAGUCACCACCCAACUAACAUAGCACAUCACUGACUUAUUCGUCUAUGCCCUAGACAUUUCAACAUACACCGGAUCAAGCAUCACAAAGUCCCUAUCCUGUAAUGACAGGGCUUGACCCCACCGUUAUUUUUUGUACUCAUGAUUAUCUCAAGUAACAUAACCGAGAUAACCGUCCGGCAAUGAGUCACAAGACUUAAGUGGUGUGUUAUCGAAACAUCUUCCUCAGCCCCUCACGUUAAUCCGUAUUGGUCCAAGCACUUCACUAGACAUGCUCCGCGAGAUCGUAUUUUCUCAUGACCCUAAGAUACAUGCUAAGUUAGUUACUUUGGACCUCCACUUCAUAACGUAGUUCUAAGUUGAGGGCACAAAAAAAAUUAGUGCUCACACAGUGACAUGGAGGGAAGAACUUAUGUCACUCUACUAACUGGUCGACAAGCACAUACAGUAUGAUAUGUAUGCUAUGGCGGAGUUCCCACUCAAUGGGUCAUGUCACGCUCUAAAACGCCAUACGAACCUUGGUCUAGGUACCACUAAGGUAUCUAACCACCACAACUCAAGUCAUCUCUCUAACCGGAGCAUUUAGGUUCGGCUACUAUACAGGCUCGAUAUGAAAUUUCUCAAAAAAAACUUUCAUAUCCAACUCUUUAGAGUCUCAUCUUAAACUAAUUAAGGCGACUUUUAAAUUAUGUCAACACUUCAUUCAUAACGUAUAUGAACAAAGUAAUCAUAUUACAACUACUCAAGUUUAAUAUGAUUAUCUAGUCUCAUCCUGCUCACCACUUAGGUGCCAGGGCGAUCACCUGUGUGAGUGGGCUGAUCUGAGCCUGGUGACUUAACGAAUAUGUGCCUACUAGUAUCAAUUACGCAAUCACAUUAAAAGAAGAAAAAACAUAUUUUCAUUAAUAAAGCGUAAGAAACAAAGUAAUGUCCAUAUCAAAACCUACGAAGACCCAAACUCUUAACAUGGGUCAGGAACAUAUCCCUAGCUAUCGGUUUGGUCAACGGAUCAGCCACCAUCCUAGUGGUGGAAAUAUGUCUAAGAAUGACCUCGCCUAGCCUAAUCAUCUCUCGAAUGUAGUGAAAACGGAUAUCAAUAUGCUUAGUCCUGCCAUGAUACUUUGAAUCUUUCACAUACUCCAGGGCAGCCAUGCUGUCAGAGAACAUCUCAACAGGUUCAUUUGCUCGAGUCACGAUGUCGAGGUGCUGGAGAAAUCUCCUCAGUCAAAUAGCCUCCUGAACGGCCGCUGAACAAGCAACGUACUCCGCUUCCAUAGUAGACAAGGCAACGCAGCCUUGCUUCUUACUAUACUAGGAAAUUGCACUACCUCCAAGCAUAAACACAUAGCCUGAAGUGGACCUGCGCUCAUCUCUAUCACCACCCCAAUCAGCAUCACUAUAUGCUUUCAAUCUUAAGUCCCCAUCUUGAAAACAGAGAACGAGAUCACUGGUUCCUUUUAGAUAUCGAAGGAUUCUCUUGACCGCUUGCCAAUGAAUAGGUCCUGGGUUGCUCUGGUAACGACUUACCAAGCUAACAGCAAAACAAAUGUCAGGUCGAGUACACAUUAUAGCGUACAUCAAACUGCUAAUUGAACUCGCAUAAGAAACCCUACUCAUUUGCUCCUUUUCUUUAUCUGUUUUAGGGCACUGAUCAAGACUCAGAGUGUGAUUCUUUUCCACUGGAGUAUCAACGGGUUUGCAAUGAUGCAUCCUAAAACGCUCUAGAAACUUUUUAAUAUAAGUUUCUUGAGACAAACCAAGAAGCUUUUUAGAGCGAUCAUGGAUGACCUUCACUCCAAGCACAUAGCUCGCCUCACCCAUGUCUUUCAUUUCAAAAUUGAGAGACAACCACUCCUUAGUGGUAUUGAUUAACUCCAUGUCAUUUCCAGCCAAUAGUAUAUCGUCGACGUAUAGAGAGAGAAAGAAAAUCCCAUUCUUUGUCUUCUUGACAUGUACACAGUGGUCCUCCUCUAUCAUGGACAUACCGAUAGAGGUGAUGGCUUCAUGAAACCUGAAAUACCACUGUCUCGACGACUGCUUGAGACCGUGAAUGGAUCUUUUAAGACGACAAACUUUGUCUUCUUGACCUUUGAGUACAAAACCCUCAGGUUGAUCCAUAUAGAUCUCCUCCGCCAAUUCUCCAUUGAGAAAAGCUGUCUUGACAUCCAUUUGGAACAUUUCCAAAUCUAGGUGUGCCACUAAGGCUAGAAUCAAACGAAUAGAGGUAAAUCGCACAACGGGAGCAAACGUCUCGUUGUAAUCUACCCCUUGCCUCUGAGUGUAGCCCUUAGCCACGAGCCGAGCCUUAUAUUUAUCGAUUGAUCCAUCUGCCUUGCGCUUAAUUUUUAAAACCCAUUUAUUUUCAAUAGACUUGCGGCCAAGCAGAAGGUCAACCAAUUCCCAUACUUGGUUCUUGCUCAUGGAGUCCAUCUCAUCUUUCAUAGCAGCUAUCCACUCACUGCAAGCUGGCGUUGUAAUACUUCUUUAUAAGAAGUAGGUUCAUCAUCAUCGAGCGGAGUGCACAUGAAAAUAUCCCCUUCGAUCUCAAAAUGUCGACGGGGAAUAUGUCCACGUUCACUUCUGCGUAAUGGAGGGUCUAAUCUGCUGACUUCCAAGGGCAUGCUCUCACUCAAAGAAGCACUCCCACUAGCCGGAGGAUCGCUACCACUUUCUUCAGUGACUUUGGGAAGUGAUCGAUCACCCUCAAUCGCAGAUGGGGUAGCGUCGUCCUGUAACUCAUACAAUCUGACGUCUCUUCGCAUAUCACCAAUGUUUGGAAAAUCCCCUUCUAGGAAUUCCACAUCACGAGACUCAAUCUCGGUCAUACCACCAUCUGGGUGUUCACCAGACAUCACAUAGCCCUUCGAAUUUUCAGGGUAUCUGAUGAACAUAUGCUUACUCGCUCUAGGGCUGAGUUUUCCGAAUUUAUGUGAGAGGCUAUGAACAUAUCCAGCCGAACCCCAAGGGUGUAAAUAGUGUAAACUUGGCUUUCUACCGCUCCAUAACUCAUAUGGGGUGGUAGGCAUUAAUUUGCUAGGGACUCGAUUAAGGAUGUAGGCUGCAGUCAAAAGAGCAUCUCCCCAAAAAUUUAUGGGAAGUUGCGCUUGCGCCAUCAUCAACCUAACCAUGUCUAAUAGAGUACGGUUUUUUCGCUCUGCAACACCAUUUUGUUGCGGAGUACCAGGAAUAGUGAGCUGUCUAUUAAUGCCCUUUUGCUCACAAUAAGUCUUGAACUGAUUAGACAAGUACUCACGACCUCGAUCAGUGCGAAGCACCUUUACGCUUCUUUCUAUUUGAUUCUCAGCCUUCGCAACGAAGCGCUUGAAGCAAUCUAAAGUUUCAGAUCGGCGAGAAAGCAAAUACACAUAUCCAUAAUGGGAAUAAUUAUCAAUGAAUGUGAGAAAAUAGCAAGCACCAUGCCGGGCCCUCACAUUCAUUGGCCCACAAAUGUCUGAGUGGAUUAGCUCUAAAGGAUGAGAGGCACGAGUAGCCUUACCGAAAGGCUUUCUACAUGCCUUUCCAGCCAGACAAGGCUUGCACACAGAUAGGUCAACUUUGGUGAGAGACCCCAAAAGGCCUUCUCGAGCCAGUCGAUUCAUUCUUUCUUGACCUAUAUGGCCUAAUCUGGCAUGCCAUUUAACGGAUUCAUCACAGAGAGUAGAAGAAGAAGAAGCAAAUACAAACGAAUCAUCCUCCAAAUCUAAUUUAAAGAAACCAUCAACUAAUAUACCAUAUCCAAAUAAAGGCCAUGUAAAGGGAUGUGUUUUGCGCAACGUCGACGUUUUUCAAAUUAAAUUUUGGCAUAAGUACUUAAUUUUUAUCUGUGUGAUGAGAUUAGUUCUCCGUACAUAAAUUUUUUUAAGAAAAGAUGUGUUCUUUAAAAUGGAUGAGUUCCAACUUUUGGACAAGUUUCAAAAUAAAUAGAAAAUUAAUGAAUUUGUAAUAUUUGAACCGGCACCUGGGUGAUGAUUACGAGCAUAGCGAAGUUUUCGAUCCCGUUGUGUCGAGGAUAAUGUUCUAAUCUUGUUAAUUUUUGGGAAUAUGUGCCUAAUGUCCAAACCUAUUUUUUUUGAAUGUAGUGAAAUGACUUCCAAGAACAUCAUAGUUGAUCUCACCAGGGGUGAUAAGCUAGAUGGAAAGAAUUAUGAUAUCUGGCAUAGGAAAAUGCAAUACCUGCUCAAUGAACAAGGGGGUCAGGGUCUGCUCUGUCUGUGAUCUGGUUUGGACCUGACGAGGACGUCAGGGUCUAAACAGGGGGACUUUGUAACGGAUACCGAUUCCGAUCAGUUUAUAUGAGGCCUACACGCUAGUAAUAAUAACUAGGCUUAAGUAUUUUGGGCUGGUGGUUUGGGCCCAACGAGUUAUUGUUGCUAGCGGGUCGGGUCGUUGCAAUUGGUAUCAGAGACGAAUACAAGUCGAAAAUGUGAGAGCUAAGUGCUAUACGGGACAAAGUGCUACACUAAAGGAUUUGGUGGGAGCCACCUCUUGAACCCGUAGGAGCCACCUCUAGAAUCUCACAUCGCCUGGUAAUUCUGGUCCUGCUCUGAUACCAAUUGUUGGAAAUAAUAGGGCAGCGGAAACUUACAAACCGAAUAGCCAACGUAUCCGGGAACCCAAAUCGGAUCGGUUUGCCUGUUUUACAAGCCUUCUUGGAUCGUCCUUGUCUCGAUGCUUUUGGAUCUCCCACGUUUCUCGCCUUUUCCCACGCGUACGCCUUACGCCACGGAUCGGAUGCGGAUCUGAUGUGACGGAUGCCAAUCGAAGAGGGCUACCAGAGUCCUCUUCUAUGUCCACACUUCAAAACCCUCGGGAACGUAGGUGGAAAUCCCAGAGAGGAAGAAGAGAGAGAAUAAGAAAGAUAUUUCGUAGGUUCUUACGAAUUUGAUCGUAUUCAAUUGUCUCUCAUGGGAGAAAACAAGGGGACAUAUUUAUAGAAUAACAGAACCCGUAAAUAUCAUGAAUCUCAUAUAGAUUAGGAUAAGGAUUAGGAAAUCUAUUAACAUAUAAUAGAUAUCCACUAAUAGAUACGUUUCUUAACUGAUAAGAAACAUAUAAUUUAUUCUUAUCCUAAACUCAUUAGGAUAAAUCACAAUCCACAUCUUAAGUAGAUCGGGUUAAAUCAAGACCCGCCAAUGUGGACACACCACAUGGCUACAGUGGUAGUCUUGGGCUCCACAUUGAAUAGCACCGCAUCAUCUAGUGUCAAAUAUAGGUUUGGCAUAGCCAUCUUGUCUCUCUCUUCAAAUUGCUUAUCUGUCAUCCCUUCCGGUUUUUUCUCCUUUCCUUGCAAGGUGAUCUCACAAGCAUCUUUAAUCAAACUACUUUCAUCUUUAAUUUUCACAACGCAAAAUUCGUUCCAACAAAUCGAGGAACCUCAUACUUCAUCACUGUAACUUUUCCCGCCAUUGUUUCACCGUUAACGAACUACAAAGAACCACACGCUCUGAUACCAGUUGAAAGCGAAGGGAUUGGACGUGGGGUUACCGAGCACACCUCAAACCCAUACAGCACACGAGCGCAAUGGAACAAGAUCUUUCAUAGAUGUAAAAGACGAGAACGAUCGUAAAGAAACAAACAUGAGUAUAACAAAGCAAUAGAAGGAACAUUAGAAGACAAGAACACAAGAUUUACGUAGUUCCACCAACGAUGAGUCGACCUACGUCCACGGGCAAGACCACCUCAAUGCGUUCUUCGAUUAAUCCACGGCACAAAAGUAUAAGGAGUAGAUUGGAUUACAAGAAACUCUGUCAUUUUUCUCUUGAUUAGGGUAUCUACAAUGAAGCACUCACAAGAAACCUCCAACAACGAGGCUCUAACUCAAAAGAACAAUUACAAGGGUUAAUAUAAUCCUAAACCCUAAUUCAAGUAGUAAAUAAUCUCUGCCGUCCAUCCGAGCCUUCGAUUCACACGUAGCCAUCGAUUUCCUCUUAAAAAUUCUCUUUGUAGCGAUCUUGGACCAUCCCUAAUCUUUUGGAAUAAGAUUAGAUCCAACUGAAGUCAAAUUCUGCAUAUUCAACCAGUCGCGGAACUGUGUACCAAUACUCGAAGUCGCGUAUCGGUACUCAAUACAAAAAUAGAUACUGCGUACCGGUAUUCAGAAUCGCGUACGUACUUAAUACAAAAACAGUUUUUCUAGCUCUCAGGUUUUGAGGAACUGUUGAGGUACUCAAUAGUACCAGUAUUGAAACUUCAAGUUCCGGUACCCAACAUCCAGAAACCUCCAAACUUUUACGUUUGCACCGUGAAAUCGACUCGAAACAUGGCUUGACAAAAUCCAACAUCAUGUACCUUUCAUGCACAUUCUAUCUGCUUCUACUUUUCUUAACCAACUUUAUUUAAAUUAUUUUAAUUAUAGUUUGUUUUUUAUUUUCUAUAUAUAUGGUCUUAUAAAAUUAUGUAAUUACUAAUAAGUUUCUAUAAUUUUUUUUCCAUCACAUAUAUUUUGAUAAAAUUAAUUUAAUAACUUAAUAACUAUGUAUUAUAGUUAGUUAAUUAUAAAUAUUAUCAUUAGUUAGUUAAUUAUUAAAAAGCUAUUAGAAAAUCUGAAUCUCACGUCUACCUAUAUAAUAACUUUUUGUCUUGUUGCAUCAUGCUGGCCCUUCACUAGAUUUUUAUAAAUACUAAGUUCAUAAUUCCUUUUUCUUGCCCUCUAAAAGCUCCUGCGAGAAUCUUUUAAAAAAUUUGUUAGUAUUCUAUCUGCAUUUUAACUUUAAUUAACACUUCUUCUAAUUUAUCGACUUUAUCCCUCUAAUUCAUCCAAACACUAGAGGGGGGAAUGAGUUUAUUUAAUCCCCCUCUUAACGGGUUAUUCUAGAAUAAACCAUUAAGAGCGGGGAAUUGUUGUUUCACCAUUUUGGCGGAAUAACAAUUUUUACUGACUAUCCCUAGCGCAAGUGGCAAAAGGGCUUGGCGGUUGGUAUCUGAGACCCAAGUUCGAAUCCUAGUUGAUUUACAUUUUUACCGUCCGUCCCUAAAGCAAGUGGCAAAGGGCUUAGUGGUUGGUAUUCAAAAUCCAAGUUCGAAUCCUAGUUGAUUCACAUUUCCUGCUAAGUUUAUUUCUAAAUGAAAUAAACGAAACGGGUAGCGUGCUACCUAUCUCUCUAAAGUGCUACCUAUCUCUCUAAAAAAAAAAUUUUUUUUUUUCUCUUUAUACCUCUACUAAUUUAAUAAUAAAAUAUUAUUAAUUAAUAUAUUAUAUAAUAUUUUAUUAAUUAAUUAACUAAAUUAAUAAUUAACUAACUUAGUAAUAAAAUAUUGGCUAAAUUAAUAACUAUUUAGUGUGCUUAUGUAAUAACUAAUAUCUAUAUUGAUUAAUCAAUUAAUAUUUUGACCAACAUAACUAAUUAAAUAAUUAAUUAAUUAAUUAAUUUACUAAUAUAUUAAUUUAUUAGCUUCAUUUGUUAACUUUUCAAAUUAUUUAUAGUUAGUUAAUUUAUUAAUUAGAAGUACUCAUGGUUAAUUUAUUAAUGAUUAAUUAAUCUCCUAAUUAAUUUAUAAUAAUUUAUUAAUUAGCAUUUAUGAUUAUUUAAUAAUAUUCAUGAUAAAGAAAUAAAUUAAUUUAUUAAAUAUCAUUUACUUAAUAUUUUGAUGUUAAUUAAUUAUAUACAAUAUUAUUAUUUAACUACUAUAAUUACUUUUAUUCCUAUUAUUCCUAUCUAACUAACCAAACGCGUAAAAUUGGUCUUAUUCCCGUUUAUCCUGAAGUUGUACCUAUCCUAGGAAUAAUCAAAAAAAUUUAUUCCCGAACCUAACGAUACCCUAAGAUUUAAAUCGUUGUAACAUUUUACACACAUCCCUUUGCUUCCCCAUUUCCACCUACGCAAUUUAUCCUUAUAAACUUUAUAUACGAAUGAAAUUUAUUGAAUAAAGCCACAUUUGAAGGAUAAUAAAUUAGAUUACUACCAGAACAAUUUUGAAAUUUUUCGAAAGAUGCAUGCGCAAUAAGAACUCCUUAAAAUCAAAACUCUAUAUUCAAGGAUUAACAUACAACUAUGAAUAUUUGGGAGUUCAUUAUCCACGCACCAGCAAACUCAUUGUAUUAGAUUUUUUCUAUAUCUAUUUCUGUAUUUGUGUUUUUUUUUUUUUUUUUUUUUUUGAGAGAUAGAUAGCACGUAGGCUAUCCGCUUCGUUUACUUCAUUCAGAAAUAAACUUAGCUGGAAAUGUGAAUCAACUAGGAUUUGAACUUGGGACCUCGGGUACCAACCACAUCAAACCCUUUGCCAUUUACUCUAGGGACGGUCGGUCUAUUUUUAUAUUUGUUGGUGUGUCGAUGUACGAAAUAUCAGCAAAUCAACAAUGUUUUAUAAAUAAAAAAUUAUUGAAAGUGCAUGCACAUAGCAAUACUCUAUUAUAUUUAUUACAUCGAACACGUACUUACGACUACCUUUUGUCUUAUCCUCACCAGCUUCAUCAUUCAUUAUCAUUUUUUCAAAACUUACAACUUAUGAUAAGUUAAAAGAAAAAGAAAAAGGAAAAGAAAAAAAACAAUAACAACAAGAAUAACAAAUAGUUCUAAUUGUAAACAGAAAUAAACCUUGCUUGGGCAGUGAUGCGUGAUGGUUUGGUGCAGUACUUCUUCAUCAUUCGUGAUGGCGCGGUUGAUUGACGGCGAAUUCCGGUCGUAGGUCGACCCUACAUUCGCGUCAAGAAGCGGCUGCGUACCUGCAGCCGUAGAAGCAAUCUUGAGGACAGUACGAAAUCACAAGAACUUGUUUGUGGCAGGCGACCAAGCAUUGCCGAAAGCAUUCAUAGCUUAUUUUGACGCCGCCCACAGUAGGAGCAGAUGCGGUAGUUCUUGUGGCGGGCCAAACGGUGCGGCCCACUGCCGGUAGCAGCCGCCCGGAUGCCGCCUCCAGCAGGAGGGACAUGAAGACCAAGGCUAAGAUCAUGAUCACUAUCUUGGUAGGAGGGAUCGUCGCCAUUAAUAAUUAGUUGCUUGGUGUUUUCACUAAAAUGAAAACCUCUCGGUGAACUUGUAAUCUUCUCCCACGAGAGAAUGCUGGAGCUUCAUUUGAUUUAUAGACCCCCACUUAAGGAAAGAAAAAAAGAUUAAAAAAAUUGGACACUCGUAACAUGAGGUAAUUAAUAUAAUCCGAUUAUUAAAAUACUUAAAAUAAUGAGGUAAAUGUGCAGUAAUUGCUUGAACUUUUGUCCAUUUGUAAAUAUAUACAUGGGCACAUAAAUCUUUAAAAUUCUACAUUUACCGUUAUAGUUUCAUAAUUUUGCAAUUAACUACCUAGAUUCAUAUUCAAUGAAUUUAAAACGAGAAUUUAAAAUGAUUAACAUUAGUCAAUUAGUCGAGAAAUAAUAAAGAACUCAUACUGGUGAUAUUGAUGUGCGUUAGAAUUUCGUUACUUUACACACAGGUACCAGGAAAAAAACAGAAAAAGAUUUACUUCAUCAGAUGCAGAAACACCAAAAGAGAAUUGAGAAAGAGAGAAAAAAUAAAGCACAGAUAGAUUUACGUGGUUUGGCUACUGGCUUACAACGUCCACAGACAAGGCCACAGUGAAGAAUUUUAUUAUAAUGAAAAUUUAAUAUAAAAUAUGCCUUACUUAGAAACCCUAGUCCCAAAAAUACAUUCGUACUCUUUCUUAUCUGUUGCACCAAAUUAAUAAAAUAAAAGAUAAUAUUUAUAAUAGUGGUUGAAUUUUAAUACAACAAUGUCACGCCCCGGAUUAUACGUUCCCCGGGCACGCCAACAAAUCCGCCGUAUACAAAAAAUUUUUUCCUGUAUACAAAGCGAUAGCUGUACCUGUAAAUCAUACAAUACUACAAAAAGUAGUAUAGAGCUGCUAGAAGAACCAGAAAUAAAACAAACCGAGUUCCAUAUACAUACGCCAAAUCCAAGAUACAAAACUACUCGCACUGGUGAGUUAAGUAAAAGUAUGUACAUGAACUCCAACAAAAACAACUACCUGCUGUAGGGGUACCUCUAGCUCGGCUCGUCGGGUCGGGCUCUAACUCGCGACGCCCUUGCCUCGAUCCUGAUCAGCAACAGCAGCAGCCGAAGACGAAGGCUCUGCAAAAACGGGGUAACAAUAGGGCGUGAGAACUACUGUAAAACAAGUAGUCCUCAGUGGGUGCCGCUCUCAACAACAUCGGUCCACCCACUGAGUCUACAGAAGGGAGCAAAGGUAAUAAUAAAUGCUGGAAUAAAAUCUACAGUUACCAUUUAUUACUCUAUCAUGCUCUAAGCUAACCUACUGUAGAAAUGUCAAUUCUGACCCAAUCUCUUUAGGGACUGUAAACAUACCCAUCCCAGAGACUGUGAAUACACCCGUCCCGCCCAGUAGAGACUAUCCAGCUACCUCCACACUAACCAGUCCAUGGAGAGCAAGUCUAAUUGGCAUGCACGACAUCAACGCAAAAGCAUAGCGCCCGCCUCCGUAGUGGCACUCGUGGGAGCUACCCAACCGAGUAUGCAACUGUAAUACACUGAACUUUUGCAAUUUGCGGAGUUCGAGUAUGUGGAAUGGUGUGUGGAUCACUCCUACAUGUUUUAAAAGGUUAGAACAAGUUUUUGGAUAAGUUAGAGGAUGGUUGGAAUGCUAAAAAUAAGAAAGUGCAUUGAACUGGCGAAAAUCAGCCUUUUCUGCUUGCUGUACCGGUACAGCCGCAAUGGUGUACCGGUACACAGUGGCAUUUCGUGGCAGCUUGGGUAUUUUGGUAAUUUCACAUGCUUAUCCCUAUCUUAUGGACCCAGCUCGACCCCAGGAGCUUUGUGGAUGUUGCUGGAGUGCAAAGGAGUGUUCUACCAUCUCUCUCUCUCUCUCUCUCUAGGGUUUUUCUCUCUCUACAUCGAAUUCGCCGAUUUCGAUCGUUUUCGUCGCCGCGUGCGUUCUUCGCUGGUUGCGAGCGUCGCAGCACCUUUGUGCACGUGCAAGAGAGUGUUUUGGAGGGAUUUUUGCAGCCCUGGACCAGUAAGGAGCUGGUUGCAAGCUUGAGAAGGUAUAUAACUUGAUUUUUCCGUUAUCGACGCGUUAUUAGUCGAGUUGAGUAUUGAUUUCAUGUUUUUGCUUCCAACUGUUUUAACCUGAGAUUUCAGCAUGUAUAUAUGAGAUAUUUAGCUGAGAAUUAACCCUCUUAGAUCUGGAAUAGGCUACUUGGAAGCUUAAUUGGAAUAAUUAGCCAUUUAUGAAGCUAUUUCGGACUAUAUACGGGUUACGCGACCGAAUUGAUACAAUUUGGGAAUUGUUCUCUUCGCAGCAGGUUUUUGAACCUUAUUAAACGAAAUUAGUGACCUUGGGACCGAGUUUAGAAGGUGUUCUAACUUCGGGUAAGCAGGAAUUUCAGCUAGGAAUUCAAUCUUGCGAGAAUUCGACUAUUAUAGUUUAUAAUCGACUAUAUUGAUGCCGUUUCGGUAUUGUUCGCAGCGAGAGGGUGUUUGACCCUUGGACCGUCUUCGACUGGCCUUGGAGGACCUUUUGGAAGCUUAACUUGAGGUAUUACUCUAGCCCAGAAUAGGGAUUCAAGGGGUUACCUUGCACUAAGUGUAAAUUAGGCCGAAAUCGGACAUUUCGGUCGUGUUUUUGACACGGUUUUGAUACCUUAUUUUCAGCAGUAGUGGGACCUCGUGGGGCUGAUUUUGGGACCCUUGCACACUGUUUUGGAGCUUAGUACGAGGUGGGUUUGACCUAACCAGAGCAAGUGAAGCUCCCCUAUGUUCUAUAUGUAUCGAAUUGACAUAGUUGUGCGAUAUUGUCACUAUAUGGUUCUUUGGAACUUCUUUGCCAUAACAUUGACUAGAAUCUCUAUGAAGUAGAGAGAAAUUAUGCAUAACAGUAUUUAUGCUUAUGUUUAUGUUUAUCUUUAGUUCAGUUGAAUAAUCAAUGGACAUGAUAAUUAUGUUUUUGUAAAGUAGAAAACAAUGAUAUUGACUCUAAAGUAGAGAACCGUGACAUGCUUUGGGACUAUGUUGGUAGUGCCAUGAUAGUGAAAAGAUUCUAAUGCCUGUAAAUUAGCAUUACUCUUACAUGCUUACUAAACUAGUGGAUUCUAGUUAUUGUUCAUAUUUGUUAUAUUGAAAUUCCGAUCGAGGAUCGAGACCGAGAAUAUUGCAAAUGAAAUUGUAAUAAUUGAGAUAUGUUGGACUGUGGACCUUGCUUGCUUGCCAUUGUGCUCAUUCGCACACGCUUGUGAGGGUAGCUCCCUACAAGCCGGCACUCCGGAGUUGGCCUACGCGACAGUUGCUCGCCCGUGCGGGAUUGGGUGCCGAAGUGGAUCGCCGUGGGGAGUGUAUACUACCACGGGGCCAUUAGGCGCGGCGCAAGCUGGACUACCUUGAGUAGAUCCCUGUGAAUGAAAGGAAAGUGCUAAAGGAAAUUGGACAGUAAUGAAUGAUUACCAGUUACAGUGUACAGUAGUUACUUACACAUUUAUGCUAUGUUUAUGCUUAUAGUAGUAGCCAUGCUUCUAUUAUUCAGUUGAUUCAUUACUGUUGAUGCUAUGAUCACAUGUUGUUUACAUGUUCAUUAUUUGUUAACAUUGGCUUAUGAAUUGUUAGCAUUGAAAAUAUAUCAUGCAAAUUACUGCUUUUAUUUCCAUUUAGUACAUCUUGUACAUCUUGAGCCUAGUGGUGUAAUUCGCCGAGGCUGGCGGCUUACCCACUGGGAACUAUUGUUAAUAGUUCUCACGCCCUUUUGAUGGUUGUUUUUACAGAGCCUGUUACAGGAGAGGCUAGGGAUCGUGGCAAGGGAGUCGCGCCUAGCUAGGGACUUCUAGGAGCGUGCUAGUCGAUCACCUUGCUACUCGGGCUACGGCCGAGGGUGAUGUCCCUAUGUAUAGAUAGACCACCGUUGUACCUAUUCUUUUUGUAUACCCUGUAUAUGUAUAUGUGUUAUUGGAAUCAGACUUUAUAGUUGUGAUACUUUCAUCUUUUGGUUGAAUUGUGGGAUUGUACACUCUUUGCCCUUUUGCUGAUAGUAUUUUGACUUGUACUUUGCUCUGAUAUCAGGAUAGGACUUUCUUUGUUUUACUUCCUAUCGAUUUGCUUCUUGUAGACGCCUUAUAUACUGCAGGUGUAUGGCGGGUCUGUGCACGUGCCGGAUAUGCUUCCGCUGGUAUCCGGGCGUGACAAGAGUAAAGUCAAGAUCAGAACUUAUAAUCCGUUGAGUCUAAGGAUAUGAUCAUACUAGCUAUAACCUCAGUACUCGAUGGACGAUAAGCACACCCUCGUGAGAGACGAUGUCUAGUCGAGGUUGUUGUUAGCGAAAGUACUUUGAUUGGGUACUUAUAAACUCCGAAUAGUAGGAGUUUGAUCGGGAUGUGCAAGUACUAACUUUGCAGAGGGUCACGUUGGCGGCCGACAACGUGACAUCGGAAGUUAGUAGGCGUUACAUUUCCUUACUUUCGCUUGAUUAGUUGGUUUAUAUCCUCAAUGAGGGUUCAGUAGUAUAGGGUUUAUUGACCUAUGUUUGUUUUUGUGUUGCAGUUCAAGAUGCCUACGACUCGUUCUGGAACCGCCGGGGCGGCUGAGGCGGCCGCUGCGGAAGAGGUAGAGACUUCCGUCACGUCGGGGUCCAGUGAGCUUCAUGAGUUGCAGGAUCAGCUUGCGACGUUGACAGAGUUGGUUACUCAGCAGGCCGCGGCAGCACGACAGUAGAUGGAUGCUGCGCGUCGGCAGGAUGACAGGAUGAAGAGGUUAGAGGAUCUAUUACUGCGGCAGACGACCGCGUCGGCAGGAGGACAGGACUCCCUGUGGCCGCCUAGAUUUAACUCGGGCCGAGCCUGGGCACUCACGGCCUCCGCGCACUGCCGCCGUCCAUCGACGGGAGCGCCGCCCUCCUUGGACUUCCGGUGACCCUCCGGCGACCGGCCGCCGCCGCCCCGAGGCCCCCGGCCGCCGCCUAGCCGCCGCAGACUCCUUGAACCCGAGCUGAGCUGUGCGGGCUCGUUCUUUGCCGCCGUGCCACCGGCUGCCUCUCACCGCCGGCCAGCACGUGCCCGACCCCUCUUCGACAUGCUGCGAUUUCCCCCUGCCGGAGCGCCCGCCAUCCGGCCGCCGCUGGUCACCCUUGGGCUCCACUGGUCCGGUAAGCAUUAAAUGAUGUUUUUUGUGCACUGUUUGGGGUUCUGGUCACCUUUCCGGCGAUCCGGAGACACCCCGAUAAUUAUGGAAGUAAGCAUGAUGAUCUCUGAUCCGUGCCGAACAUCGUGCUCACCUCCUUUGGGGUCAGUGAUGCCUCGGUUUGCGUGAUAGACGCAUUUUAAACACUGUGCGUGCUGUUUCGCUGUAGUUCGCAUCGCUCACGCGCUCGCCACAGCGGCUGGCAGUGCUCUGAAUCUGAGCACGGCCUUCGGCACGCCGAGACCUGUCGGCGAGUGUCUCAGCUUGGCCGAAUGACCUUCGGUUUGCGCUGUCGGGCUAUAAAAAAUCCCGAAAAUCACAUGAAAUAAUGUGAUUUUAUGUAAUCGGGAGGGUAUUUAUGCAAUUGUGCUUGUCAGGGUCGCUGUUGGCAGCAUGUGCGGGCAGUGGGUGACCUCUGAACUGGUUGUCCAAGGCCCCAAGCCUUGCCGGAAAUCAAAUGUUGAUUUUCGGUGCGUUUUUCAGCGAAAUCUGCCGACGGAACGCGUUUUCGGUUCGGAAUUCUUCUGACGGUGCCUCAUGAUAAUUUGUUACGUCGCUGAACCUGGUUGGCUGGUCACCCAUGUCGUUUCGAGGGUUCGAAAACGACGAGUGAGUGACGGUGGGUUCCGGUGUCGAAAUUGACACUUCCGGGAACCCGGAUCGAAAUGAUUAUCCGAUGAUAAUCAGUUCGAUGUGAAGCGAUGUGUUUGCUGCCAAGUCCCAUGGAUAAUGGUAUUUAGUGGCAGCGGGUGACUCGUAGCCCGAGUCGGUGUGUUCCGGGACAGUUCGUGGGUCCUGACGGAGUCCCGGUGCGAUUAUCGGGACUUCCGGCGUGUUACGGCAAUCGGUUUGGAAAACCGAUUCCCGUGGACCCUUCGUAGGUUCGGUUGAUAUCCUUCCGCAGUCGGGAGACCAAUGCCAGAUAUGUACAGGUGGGUACUUCGACUUGAAGUUGGUACAGUGGUGCACGCUCGGUGACAUCUUCUUACCCUGUUCUCUUGUUAUUACCUUGCAUAUAUAGUGUUGAGCCUAUCAUCCCUGUUAUUCCUGUUUUGCUCUACUUGUUUAUUUUCAUGUCUAGCUUCAUGAGUAGGAGUAGAGCAGUUGUAUGAUUUCAUGUGAGAUCGGUGACCUAGUUGGUCGAUGCUUUUAUCUCGUAUCUUUGACCUAUUCGGUCGGCUGACUGCAUUGUUAUCGUGACCUACUUGGUCGGUUGCACUAUUCGAUGACCUAUACGGUCAGUAUACCCUGAGGGGUAGGAUUGUCGGCUAGUGGCUGACGGUUAGUUCUAGAUUAUACCGAUGUAUGAUGUAACAUCCUUGUGACCUAUUGGUCAGUUCUUGUGUAUAGGGGUGGAAACGAGCCGAGCUCGAGCGAGCUUACCUCGGCUCAAAUUCGGCUUGAAAUUAAUUUCGAGCCUAAAUUUAAGCUCAAGCUUGGAUUGAAAUUAAUUCGAGCCGAGCUCGAGCGAGCCUAAUUUUGAGUCGAGCGAGCUCGAGCUCUAAACGAGCCGCUUGAAAUUCUCAACAUCAUACGAUUAAUAGUUUAAUUUGUAUAGAACAUUGAUACAAAAAUAUGUCUAAUAGUUCAAAGUAUAAAAUAAUUAUAUAAAAUAUAGUAUUAUAAUAUGAAAAAAAAAAAUUAUGAGUUGAAUAUCUAAUCUUUUCAGCCUCACACGUCUUUUCUUCCGCCUUCAAUCUCCAUAUUAUUCAUUUUCAUUUAUGCAGUCAAAAAUAAAUAAAUUAUAUAGAUAAAUAUUGGAUUAAACUAUCCAAUCAUAUAUAACUAAAAUUAAAAUUUUAUAUGAAUAAUAAUUUUUUACUUUAAAAAUAUUCUGUAUGUUUUCUCAAGCAUACAAUUAAUAGCAAAAUAGGCAACGACAGACAUAUGCUGCUAUUUGGUAAUAUAGAGGGCUUCCGGCUUGGCCACAUAGGGUGAGAGUCAGAAAAAGAGAAAGAGAGAAAUAUAUUAAAAAUUUAGAGCUCUGUGAAAGAAAGAAAGAAAGAAAGAAAGGAAAAAUGUAUAAAUUUAGUAAAAUUUUGCUCUUUUAUUUGUCUAUUGGGUUUGUUUUUAUGGGCCAACAAUAUUGGCCCAAUUUUAACUAAACUCAGAUUAUUCACUCCAGCCUAUACAUAAUUAAAAUAUUAUAUAUAUAUAUAUAUGAAGUGAAUGCUAUCGGAAGCACGGAGCUUCGUGCUUCCAGCUCGUUUUCGAUGUUGCGACUUUCGAAUCGUCGAUCGGCUCCGUUAAACUUGAUAUAUAUAUGAGUGAAUGCUAUCGAAGCAUGGAGCCUUCCGUGCUUCCAGCUCGUUUUCGAUGUUGCGACUUUCGAAUCGUCGAUCGGCUCCGUUAAACUUGAUCUAGAAUAUUUGAGUACCUAGAAAAUAAAUUUUAUUAUUUUUCGAUAUCAUUUGCCUAGUGAUCGAAUGGGCUCAAAUCAACAAAUUUCAUGGAACGGUAGUGAGCCGUUUGCAAGUUUAACGGUGUAGAAAUAUCCAAAUCACGUGAAAUUUUGAUAGACAAUUCUUUAUACUAUAUAAAAUAAGAUCAAUAUCUUUGAUUUAAAAUUUUAAUGUCAUAUUAUUACAUUUUGUAAGAUUUUUAUUUUCAGCCGUUGAUUUUGAGCCCCUUCGUUCACUAGGCAAAUGAUAUCAUAAAAUCAUAAAAUUUAUUUUCUAGGUACUUCAAAUACUCUAGAUCAAGUUUAACGGAGCCGAUCGACGAUUCGAAAGUCGCAACAUCAAAAACGAGCUGGAAGCACGGAAGGCUCCGUGCUUCCGAUAGCAUAGUAGCCUCACUCUAUAUAUAUAUAUAUAUAUAUUCGAGCUUUUCGAGUUUUUCGAGCCUAAUUAGAACGAGCCGAGUAAUACUCAAGCUCGGCUUGAAAUGAAUUUCGAGCCUUUUUUUUUGUUCAAGCUCGGCUCAUUUAAUUUCGAGUCGAGUUCAAGCGAGCCAAAUAUCGAGUCAAACGCGAGUCGAACGCGAGCCGGCUCGCUCAUUUGCCAGCCCUACUUGUGUAUAUAGAUGUAUGUUGGUUUGAGUGGUAUAUUGAGCUAACAAAUCGUCGAGCUUUAUUGAUAAUGUCAGACUUGGACUUGUUGGUCAGGAGAAAAGUGAGGUCUUGAACCUAGGACUGUCGAAAUGCAGCAUGUGGCUUUUCGCUGAUGGGGAUUUGACUUCGGCUGUUCGUGUUUUAAACUGGUAGGAGACUGUGGUCUUCGAGAGAGUGUUAUUGACUCAGGUUUUAGGACUAUGAUACGUUUUCACUCGUGGUGAGCUGGUUGACGUUGUUGGCUAGUCGGAGUGUGUCAUUUUGGCCUGUGAAAAUAUACUCCAGACUUGUGGCAUUGUUUCGUGACUUCUCUACGUGAAUUUUCGAUGUAGUGAGUCGGUUACAGAUUCACGGACCAAGGUUGAGUGGACCUAGAGUUUCUGAGUGGUAAGUUAUUAACUCAGAUUUGGCAGAUAUGGGAUCAGAUAAUUCUAGUCGCGGAACUGUUUUGUCCCCAGGUUAUAUGAUGGUGUUGAUCCCGGUGGGUUUUGGUCCAUAGAUUUUGGGUUGGUACGUCUUCCCUCGUCUUGUCCGAGUGGAACCGCAAUUCUAUUCUCCCUUUCUUCGGAGGUUGAUUUGUCCAGAUUCAAGGAAAUGUAAUUGACCAGUACUCAAAGGUGAUACCGCAGUGGUGGAGUGAUAUCCAUAUGCGAUCACGGUGGGUACGUGGUCAAGUUUCGGGGACGAAACUUCCUUUAAGGGGGGAUGAUGUAAGGACUGAGAUUUUGGUAGUGUAGAUAAACUCUCUGUUGAUGAUGUUUUUGUGUGUAUUUUAAUUACAAAAGCACUUGUCAAGUUUCGGGAGAAAACGAGUUUGAAUGGAGAAGUUACGCGACUUUUAUUUUUUCACUUAAAGUGAAUAGUAACUCGCUUUUCCGGUGAGGCCACGGUGUAGAGUUGGCUUCCGGCGCGUAUCAGACUCCAUUUAUAGCAAUCCAAUAACUCGUUUUGAACGGUUCGGCUAUUCUGGAACUAAUGGCACUGACGGAUUGUAUAUUUGAUGCACGAUUUUCGAGUAAAAGGAAGUUUAUGGGUUUUACACAUAUAUGUAAGUGUGGUGUUGGAAAGUUGGAGAGUGGAUGAGUUUAGUCGCAAAUCAGCGACCAAAUCUGUCACGCCUCGGAUCGACUGUGGAGCGAGGAUUGUGACGUUCCGCGAGCCAGGCUAGGUGGAGUUUACAUACAGGGGUUGCAGGAGUACGUUGUUUGCCACUUGGAUAUCGUUGGCGUGGGCUCGACAGCUGAUGAGUAGAGGAUGCAUCGCUUUUCUGGCGACGGUUGUAGAGGUACCUACGGCGGCCCCGGGACUCGAGGAUAUCUCUAUAGUUCGCAAGUUUCCGGAUGUUUUUCUCCCGGAGUUGACGACUAUGCCGCCGGAUAGAGAGAUCGAGUUUGUGAUUGAUGUAGUUCAUGGAACUGCACCAAUCUCGAAGGCACCCUAUCGGAUGGCACCGGCAAAGCUGAGAGAGCUAAAGGUGCAGCUUCAGGAUCUGAUGGAUAAGAGGUAUGUGAGACCCAAUGUAUCGACUUGGGGAGCGCCGGUAUUAUUUGUAAAGAAGAAUGAUGGUUCACUCCAAUUAUGUGUGGAUUAUCGGGAGCUAAAUAAAGUGACCAUCAAGAACAAGUAUCCUUUGCCGCGCGCAUCAAUAAUCUGUUUGAUCAGCGAUGGAGAAGCUAUUUGAAGACUUGUUCAUACCAGAGAGGGAGCAGGUACAUUUGGGAGUGCACUGCUUGGCUGGCGAUGCGCAUUCUUGGUGGAGGAGGAUGAGGCGAGACCGAGGGUUUGUCACGCCCCGCAACCGCCAAUUUGGUCGGUUCGGACACGUCGAACAGACGCCGAACGGACAGUACCUCUCCUAUCCGCCUAAGGCUAAUAACAGGAUCAUAUACAUACAAGUUGCCCAGGAAAAACUUAAACAACAUACAUGAUCAUCGCGAGAUAACAAGCAUGUCAUACUACAAGUAAACAAGAGAGAGUUCUAACUAUUACAACUAUUCAACUUCAGAUUUAUAUUUACAUUUCCAAAAAGUAUACAAGUUCAUCUCAUAAUAACAUAAGUAACUCUCCAAAAGCCUCUCACCAACUAUACAUCAUACAUCAGUCAUAUACACAGGGUACUCUAAUGCAGAAAGGAAAGCUACUAGCUACCAUGGGGCUAUACCCUUACCGUGAUCCUCGGUCGGAACGCUCGAACUCGGACCUGCAAUAAAGUGGGGUGAGAACUAUUGUCCAUAGUUCCCAGUGGGUUCGGCCGCUGACUCCGCCGAUCUUCCCACUAGGUAUAAGCAGGCAUAAGCAGAUAGAUAUGCGGAAAUAAACUGCUACAUAGUAAUGAAAACUGCAACAUGCUACUAUGCCUCAAGAACAAAAUAAUGAAUGAAUAUAGCAAUGUAUUUUACUAACAUGCUACUAUGUCUCUACAUCAAGUAUGAAUGCAACAUCUACUAUGCUCAAGAUGCGUAUCUCUCAUGAGAUCAUUACCUAAUCCACUUGGCUAACCCGAAGGUUACGCCCCGACUCACGUUUCGAAUCCCAUAAGUGAGAAGCUACCCCGCAUUUACCCUACCCGAGACCGUCUGCGGGACAACUACGUCUGCCCCUCGUGUGACCACCUCUGGAGUGCACUGCUUGUGUGGAGCGACCACCUCAAGCUCAAAACAGACCAUGUGAGUACGAUUCAAUCCUCGCCAACUGAGGAUACCCUGUCAACUAGAGCUAAUAGAAACUCGGGAACUCAACUAUCCCAAUGUCCAUGUCAAGUGUCUCAACUACACUAUGUUCUAUGCCACAUAUCAUAGUCCUUGUCUAGUGUUUCGUCUACACUAAGGUUCAUGCCACUCGUCAUGCCAUCAACAUUAUUUACAUGCCACUCGUUCAUGUCAUAGUGCCUUUAAUACACUAGUUUACAUGUCCCUCGUUUUCAUUAUCGAGUUCAAGUUCACCCUUUUCUUAUCACUAUAGGAUUACAUGUCACAAGACUCAAUCCUCAUGCUCCCUAGGUUCAUGUGUCAAGCCUACAAUGCUACACUACUAAGAAAGCAUGCAAGGAAACAGAAAUACAACUAUACCAUACAUCCUAUAAUGCAUAAGAACAUUAUGUGAAAUAUGAUCGAUAAUCUAAGUCGGACAUAGAAGGAAGUCCAACUGCUUCGGGAUGACACCACCCACUACUAGGUGAUGUAGAGAUGCUAGAAAUCCGACUUCAAGAUUUUUGGACGUCGCCUCGGCUCUCCAGGCGAAAACGAAGCUCAAACAGUCCUUUUUCCCAAUAUCUUCGCGCAGACUCGACGGAUCGCCGAACCGACUUCACCAGCCCAUUAGAAUACCUAGCAAUUAGGUAUAAAAGAGAUUAAUCCCAACUUUAGAUCUCAUUUUAACAAAACCCCUAUUUGGAACCCUAAAGCAUAAUUAUUGCGAGAAUCCGACGUAUAGCUUCGCGAUUCGAGCAAUAAUCAUCUACCUAGUAUCCUAGGGUUCACCCAAGACCAAUUCUAAAGUAUAAAAACUUAACCCUAGAAAUCCACCAUUGUUGCCCAAAAAGAUUACCUCAAAAGUUUGCUCCAACGGUGAGGAAGAAGAUGAAGAAGAUGAAGUUCUUCUUCUUAGCUUGCUCCUCCCCCAAGUCUCUCUCCUACUUCCACCCUUGAAGAAAGAGAGAAAAAAGCUUAGAGAGAGAGAAGGAGAAAAAACACACGAAGGGAAGUGUUCUCUGGCUAUGAACGCAAGAGAGGGAGAUGGGGUCCAUUUAUAGGCUGCCAUAAUUGCAAUAAAACCCCUUAACAAUUGCUAUUUGCAACAUACUGCCACCUGCAGUUUUCUGCACUUGGUACCGGUGUGUGGGAUUUUUGUCACCAGUACACCGCUACGCAGAGGCCAAACCCGAGAGUUGCUACUCUCGGUUUGUUACGGGGUACCGGUACUACCCUGAUGUUGUACCGUUACACAGCCCCGAAUUGCCCAAACCCGAGAGCAGCUGCUCGCAGUUGCCUGCCUGGUACCGGUACCACCAUGGUGCUUAACCGGUACACAGUGCCCAGACUGCAUUUUGGCAUUUGUUCAACUUCUAUUUCGCACCAAGCAAUGCUAAUAUCGAACUAUCUCACUUGGAGUUCAACUUUAACCCUUCGAACAUUAUUGGAAUGUUAAAUGGAACAUGUCCAAGCAUUUCUCUCGCCACGCUUUGGUCCUUUUGACCAAAAGUUGUUUAAUUGGACAGUGAAUCAAUAUCUUACAGGGUUGGUGGCAUUGCAAAUGAAGUGGGAUGAGUUCUGUGGAAUGCUGUACGUUCCCAAACAGCGUAAAGCAAAAGCUCGAGGAGGACCUGAAGAAGUUUCAGCAGGGGGAGUGAUCAGUUCAGGAGUACACUCGUGAGUUUACCCUUCUCCUGAAUUGUGUUCCUUUUGUAGCCAGAGAUGAGACCCAUCGACAUACAACUUGUCACUCGGGGUGGUCUCCAUUGCCGUCUCGAUACCCUCCGCGCCUCUCCCCGAAGUCAAGGCGCGAUCAGAAACCUCACGGAAUCUCUUAAGGUCAGCCGUCUGUUGGAUCAACAGGCCCUCCAAUCGCCUGAUUCCCUCAUCUUGUCGGCGCAAGGCUUCGGCAUGAAGUAGUGCCACGCUCGUCUGUCGCUCCACCACGCCAACUAAAGUGGCCAACUGCUCUCUCAACUCCCGAAUCUCGCCGGAUCAGGGGGAUGCAAGCUUCUCUGGCUCGGUCGCCCCGGCUGCCGUAGAGCGUGUCGUCGACAUCACAAGCUAUAACAAACAUAACAAGCACAGGUUAAAACAACCCAUACUAUUGCAACCCCACUCAUAAGUACAAUAUCCCAAUCAUGUGAAAGUAAUGAAGUGACCUCCCAUCAUUCCUCGAUAUCACGUUGUCGGCCGCCAACGUGAUCUUGUAAGGACAUAGAUGUUAUUCACUUCGAUCAAACUCUAACACUUUUGGAGUUACAAAUAUGACCCAAUCAUAAUACUUUCGCCCACAAAUGGUCCCAAAAGACCCGGUCUCUUAUGUUCCUAUCCCUUAUCGUCCAACCAGCCUAAGGUUUGCUAGGUCCUCUAAGACUCAACCCUAGGCUCUGAUACCACUAUAAUCUGUCACGCCAUGGGACCCAGUGGAAGCCCGCCCGACAUGUGCACAGACCCGCCGUGUACGCCAAGCAACCACGAUGCACACAAGGCGUCUACCAAAAACUAGAAAUGAACAAGAUAAAGUCCUAACAAGGCUAUCAGAGCGAGUAAUAUAAAUUUACUAAUGUUCUAUCACAAAGAGGUCCACAAAAAAAUACAAAGUGUAUACAUAAAUCCACAAGUCUAACAACAUCUCUCAAGUACAUAAUACAUCUUUCUACAAGAUACAAAAAGAAAGAUGAUAACAGAUCCAUCUAAAUAACUAUGUAGGGGCUCUAGUUCGUCGCUAACCCCUUGCCAUGAUCUCUAGCCUCUCCCGCCGCGAAAGGCUCUGCAAUAAAACCGACAACAAAUGGGGGUGAGAACUAUUAAAUAAUAGUUCCCAGUGGGUAAGCCGCCGAGAGUGGCGAAAUACACCACUAGGUCAACUGAGGCAUGCUAUAAAGGGGUAAGUAAGCAACAUGUAUAAUAAGCAGGUAUAAUAAUCAUGUUUAAACAUAGUCAUGACUCCACUACAAGUUUAAUUAUCAUGUAUAUGAUGGUCUAUUUUCAUUUGAUCAACUAUAUGUCAAUGUCGAUUUACAUGUAUAUUUCACUAUAUGCCAAUAUUAGGUUACAUGCACAUUCAAUUAUAUGCCAAUAUUAGUUUACAUGCAUGUUUAUGAUGUCCAUAAUGCUACAAUGAAUAAUUAUGCUUUUCUUUACCAUUCUAACCAUACAAUAUGCCAAUCAAUAUAGGUAUGACAUACUACCACUAGAGUGUCAAUGCUAAGAAUGACUAACAUUGUCACGUCCCGAGGCCGCCAAUUUGGUCGGUUCGGGCACGCGAACAGACGCCGAACGGACAGCACCUCCCCUGUCCGCCCAAGGAUCCAACAAUAUGUAUAAUACUAGUAAUUCAAUACAGGAUAAAUACAAUUAUACAAGGUUUGCAUAAGGGCAAACAACAACUAAUUCACAAGUGAAAGCAUCGAAACUAACUAAACAUACAACAUACAAGUCAUUUGAUUUCCUUUGAAUCAAACACAAGUAAAUUUAAACUAUUACAUUCAUAUUCUUUUUCAUUCACAUUUACAUCACAUUAGCUUUCAUCCAAAUACAUAAAUUACAUCAUUUAACAUUUCUAGUUCAACAUACAAAAGUUGAUUACUAAAACAUAGGGUAUGCCUAUAAACUCCGAGGCCGCUAUCUACGGCGCGAUACCCUUGCCUCGAUCCUCUGCUGCACCGUUCGCACACGGAUCUGCAGGGUUAGUGGUGGUGUGAGAACUAAACGAAGUUCCCAGUGGGUUCGGCCGCCGACCGCGCCGACUCGCCCACUAGGUCUAUUCAGGCAUAUGUAUUUCAAUAAGGAUAGAUAUUCAAACCAGCUAAUGCAACUAACACAAUGCCUGCAAGAAAAUAGUCAGCAGAUAGAUAAUCCAUAAUCAUGAUAAUUAUGCAUGCAUGUUCAUGUCUCAUUCUCUUUGGCCUUUACCCAAUCAUUCUGGGGUGCUCCUGGUUUACCCCAAACUCACAAUCCACACAUCCUGUCUACCGGGGGAGGCACAAGGCUCAACCACCCGAGGGAUUUUCGCCGGGGUACUCUCCCCGUGGUGUCUACACCCCCGAGUACACCGCUUGAGGAUGAGCUACCUCUCUCAAGCCGGAACUAAUGUGUGAGUACGAUCCAAUCCUCAAUUUGAGGACGUAGCCAAACCUGUCUCAAUGCACAAAGCCUCGAUGCUCAUGAUAGGUUAUUACCAUAUCACAUUUCCAUUAUACCUGAGCCACAAUGGUCCUGAUGCCACAAUAAGGUAAACCUUGUUUAGCCGUUCUCAUUUUCGGUGCCAAUCUGGUCACUAAUGUCAAUGUCACCUUUAUUUACUAUUGUCAUAGUCUGUUCUAGCAUUCACAUACACAUAGGGUUCUUUCAUACAUGGUUCCCAUGGUUUCUCAUUAUUUCACAUAUUCUUUAAACAUCUAAAUGCAAUUCAACCAAGAACACAUAUCACACUAUCCUAUAUGCAUGAAUGCUAACGCCAAUAUGCUCAAAGAAGGUAACAUAGACAUAGAGAGAAAUCCGGUGUUUCCGGACAGCAUCCCCCACCUUUUGGUGAUGCCAAGAUGCCGUAAUCCAAUUUUUCAUGAUUUUUAGACUUCCACGCCGCAAGCUACGACGAUCUAUACCAAUUUAGCCCGUUUUCUCAAUUUCUCCGCGCAUGCUCGUCGUAUCACCAAACCGAGCGCACCAACGCGUUCGUUGACCUAUCAAUUAGGUUAAAAAGAGAUCAAUCCCAAGAUUGAACCUCAAAAUCUCAAAAUCCUAACUUUAGGUCCUUGUACAUUAUCAUCUUCCCCAAACUAGUCCUUAUACAUGAAUAACAUGGGGGAAAUCCUCAACUCAUCUCUUAGAAGCAUGCUAGAAAGAAACAAACCAAAACCCUAACUCAAAACUCAUGGAAACUUACCUUGGAGUCCAAGCCUUCCUUGUACACUUGCACUCUUGCAAGCAACACCUUCAACUUUGCCUACUUCUACUUCCAAACUCCUCCAAAUCCCCUCCUUGUCCAAGCUCUAGAGAGAGAGGAAGAGAGAAGAGAAGGGUUUUAGAGAGAGAGAGGGAGAUAUUUUGGUGUAGGGUUGAGAGCAAAUGAGCUCUCACACAAGCCCUAACCCAUAUAACCCUUCAUCAAGUCACAUUAGCACAUAAGCCCCUCUCAAUUGUAUUUUUACAAUCAGCCCUCACUGGGCAUUUUUCGCAUACGAGGACCGGUCUCUCCCCACAGGGACCGGUCCCCGAGAGCACUCCUCUCAGGACUUAGCCAAAUUUUCAUCUUUUUGGCUUGCUACGUGCACGGGGACCGGUCUCUCCUCCAGGGACCAGUUCCCGAGAGCACGAUUUCCAGAACUUAGCCGUUGGGCAAUCUUCCAACCUACGGGGACCGGUCUCUCCCCUCAGGGACCGGUCCCCGAGAGCUGAAAUUCUGGGACUUAGCCACUUUCCCAGAUUUCACUCACCCGGGUCCAAUUCACUACACAAUGGUCCUAAUGCUUAUAGGAUCGACUCCGCGUCCCGUUCUUUUCGACGAAAGUCGGCACAUUUCACGGGGAAGUGAUACGUUACAAACAUAAAGUCCACAAUAUGCACUAUCAUGCAUGUCUACUAAUCCAACUAGGAUGCACUCUCUAGUAUUAGUUUCCAUAUUAUACCUUAAGUAUCAAAGUUCAAUCCUCGUCAUGGAUCUACACGUGUGUAGUUCGGCUUGCGCCGUGCCAAAAAUGGCCCCAUAGUAGUCAACAUUCCCACCCUAGGAGUGAGCCUCCCCCACGGCAUUCUAUUUCGGCACCCAAUCCCGCACGAACGAGUUUGUGUCGCGUAGGCUAUCUCCGAAAUGCCGGCUUGUGGGGAGCGACCCUCACAAGCAUGUGCGAAUGAGCACAAUGGCAAGCAAGCAUGAUCAAUAGUAUCCAGCUCUCGGUCAUCAUGUCUAAAACAUGAAAUAAGUAUCAACGACCCCAAAGGUCCAAUAUAGUAUCACAUUGUCAAGAUUUGUCAUUUACUAACCCAGAUGUCACUACAUAACGCUCAUGUUUACUAUGUCAAGUAUAAGUCACUAAUUUAUAAGCACAUAGCACUUGUCAUUAUCCUAUUCAAGUUAGUUCACUAUUGUUCAAUUCUGAAGGAGGGUUCACACUUAGGCUAUUCCACUAUAGCUAAGGAAGUCCUUUUCUUGUGCUAUAUGCAUAAGUAUUACAAGAUAUUUACAAUGCCCAUAACGAAUGCCAUGCAUAUACUUUUCUACCAAUGCCUUCACUACAUGGAGAAAUAAACCAUCAUGCAAAUGAUUUCAUACAAUUAGUACUACAUGCAAUAAUCCAUCUUUUCAUUCGCCCAAGGGCGUUCCAAUCUCAAUUCACAUGUCCAACACAUGGAAGGCAACUAUCGAUCCCUAGACCGAAUGCAUUAUCACAAUGCUGUGAACUAGUUGUUCAACUAGAUUAGGUUUACCAAACUUAGUUCCAUGUUGAUCCUAACAUGUGCUUAUGUCACAAUGUCAUAUUUUCCUUGUCUAUCACAAGUAUGCCUCAUCAUGCAACUAAUUGCUAAGCCUCAUUCAUUUCACGGUUUAUGCUUGGUUAAUAAAAUCAAACCCUUGUUUGUCUCUAACAUGCUCUCUAUUACUACAUAAUAGGUAAUGCACCCACAUGUCAUUAAAACGCAAGUCCACGUUAUAUAUCUCUACUACAUAGAGUAUCAAGAUCCUAUACAUGACAUGUAAUCUCUAACAUGCUCCUUAGGUGUAUAAGAGAGUAAUCAUCAUGAAUGGUCACUUUAUGCCCAAAUCCACAUAUAUGCCUCUACCACAUAGAGCAUAAAUUUUACUACACAUGACAUGUAUGUAUUAUGUUUUCAUAAAUUCUAGCAUAUCAUAUUAAGUAUGAAUAAGCACCUAAAUAUGUCUUAAAAUCAUAAAGAAGAUAUAGGGGGAGUUUACCCAUUUCGGUGAGGUCAAACCCACCGGAAACACUUUGAACCCUUUCGUUCCUUCGAACAAAGUUGUCCCCCAAGCUCCUAGCACCCUAAAAGAAAUUCUAAAGGGUUAAAAACUCCAAAAUGACAACUUUGAAAAUCAUCGAAAAUUUACACAUGCAAAAGUGUAAAAUACCUUGGGUCAAGAAGAACUUGAUCAAAACCCAAAUCGAAUCUAGAAAGCUUCAAAUCCAACCUAUAAGAGUGUUCUACACCCAUCAAUUUCAACCCAAAAGCUCCCAAAUGAAAAGCCCCAAACAAAAUCCUAGUUUCUACAAAACUAGGUUUUCAUCUCAAAAAAACUAUCAAAAUAUGAAUCAAAUGAGAGAUUAAAGUUACUAACCUCUCUUACAGUUCCCAACCAAGCCAGAAAGGUGUUAGGGUUGGAGUCCUUCCCUCAAACAAGCUCAAUCCCUCACUUCAAGGCUUCUCCAAUGGUCCAAAAGCAAAACCCUUGAAGAAGAAACAAAAGAGGAGAUCAAACCUUGAAAUCUCCUAAGAAAAGAAAUGAAAUCAAAAGAGAAAUGGUGGAGGAACUAACCUCCUCCUCCUCAGGUUGUAGUUCAAAAGAGCCCCUCAAGGGGUGGGGUGCUAUUUAAAGAGAUGCUACAAUCUCAAAAAGAACCUUAAAAAAUCUAGUCUGCACGCAGCACUGCGUACCGGUGACACGGGGAAGAGUACCGGUACCAGGUCACAAAGCUGCCAAAACCCGAGCCUCGGCCAAGCAGAAAAAUACACUGGAUACCGGUACAAGCGCGAUGCAGUACCAGUACCAAGUCCAGUACCGAUACUCUGCCAAUGCAGUACCGGUACGCAGCCUCGCAGAGUCCAACUCGAGAGCAGUCCAAAAUCUGAAAUUUUGAGAUUUUGGUGCUAAGUUUUCACUCUCGCUCCUCGGGAUGCGAGUCAUAAGUCGGAACACAGUCAACGACCCUCCAGAAAACCUAGAAAAGUUCGGAACACUGAUCAAACACUCGAACCUUACAAUUUGCUAAAGUUCAGUAUGUUAUACUGCUGGUCAACCCUCUCUUUAUUAAGUUAUCUAUUGUUUGCACCCUCUUUUUGAGAACUAGCCAGCAAAACACCUUUCCUUUCAAGGGUAUACGGAGCCUCCAUAUUUUACUUUUUCGUACAUCCCUCGUACCCCCGUCGCUCAGCGAGGUUAAUUUCAUCGUAAAUCUAUCGUCAAGAUUCCAACGCCAUAUCACGCUAUCUAAUCUUUGCUCUACUCUAAUAUCCAAAAUCCUUUCCAUUAGUACAGCAUAGCUAGCUCCCAUACCGAGACCAGUGUUGUUGACACCUCUCAUGAUCUUGUUCCAUUUCCACCCAUCGCUUGUCAUACAGUCAUUGACUCGCAUAUUUCUUGCGUGCUACCAUAGCGUACAAAUCUGGAAAAAGUGAUUGUAAUGUGACUUCUCCGCACCACCGGUCUGACCAAAAGUCGAUGCUACUCCCGUUACCUAGCUUAUAUGAUACUCCCCAUUUGAAGACUCCACUCAGGUUUAGGACUCCCUUCCACCAGUGAGAGAAAGGUCUAAAGGAUUUUCCCUCCCUCAGCGGUCUUCUUCUAAUGUAAAAUAAAUCAUGAAUGAUCUUAGUCCACUACAACUGAGGCAUUAUAAAGAGCUUUAAAUUAUCCAAAAUUUGCUCAAAAUCAAGUUUCUGGGAGAACAGAAGUUUCAGGCUGUCACGCCCCGCGACCAACCGCCAAUUUGAACCGGGUCGCGGCGCCGACGAUAGACCGCCGAACGGACCGUGGUUUCCCCUGUACGCGGACAGAGUCUCCCCUGUACGUUCUAGGCGUCGCAAUCCAAACAAUCAACGAAUGUUCCAAUCAGGAAUGGAUAUCAAUCCAGAUUGCAUAAGGAAGUAUCAAAAACAUAAACUACUUGCUAUUACAAGCAUUCAUUUAGUACAACUGAGUUUCAGUUACAUUUUACUUCCAAAUUACAAUCUAAUUAUUACAUCAUUUAGUUUACAAGCUUGAUACAUUUUGAUUCCUGCCUUCUAGUCCCCUAAGCUAGACUCAGGGUACUGCUACCUCGGUCUCUGUGGUAGGGCGCUAUCUACUGAGCUACGCCCUCACCUUGCGCCACCGCGCUACACACGUACAACCUGAAAACACCCCAAAACCACGUGGGGUGAGAACCAACUCCAUGGUUCCCAGUGGAUACGGCCACCCAAGGGAAAAGCUCGACCGAUAGGUCCGAGGAGGCACUGCAACAUGUUAGUUCAACAAUAUACACCAGAUAUAUAUUCAAUUGAAAUACAUGCCAUGCCUCACGAUAUGCGAUAUGAAAAUCAUGCAACUCUAUGCAACAACUAGUAGAUCAUUAGAUUCUACAUUUACUUGGCUACUCUUAGCAUAUAUCUUUACUCUAAGGUUUCUACUACCUUAGGUUCACACUCGCGUCCCCUGGCUCCUAAGGUCUCUAUUACCUUAGCUUAAGCCUCUAUCUCUAGCUUAUAAGGGUUCCUCUACCCUAUCGAAGCUAACCACCCGAUUCGGCUUCGAGUCAAUCAUCCGCGGAUAGCCCGCGCACCGGCUGCUCAUCAGCCUACCGCCCUCUCUGUCUCAGCCCCCUAGCGGCGAAGUCGUCGCACACGCUAAGCUCGGCUCAAGUCGCACGACUUGACCAUCCGGUGGCGAUAGCAUUGCACUUACCCAGCGUGAGCUCGAGUCCUGACACACCGUCUGGCGGCGAACGGAUCGCACCACACCAAACAACGGUACAUGUCAGACUCAGCCACCUGGAGGCACCUGUAUCGUACUUACCCAGCAUGGAUUCAGUCUGCUCUGGCUGUCUGAUCCUCAAAUGGCUCAACCAUCCUGGCGGCGAAAUCGUCGCACAAACGCCACGGCAAUGGUUCAAGCCCCGGGCGGUGAUCUUCAUGUGAUCGCCCCCAAUCCUCCUUCGGUACCAAGCUCGGCGGCGAAGUCGUCGCACAAACGCCCUAGCUUCUACCAGGGUCAUCACAAGUCAUGGGAUUCCAGAAUCCACUUUCCAUAGGUCGAGGGUCCAUAACCAACCCUAUACUUUCGACCUAUCUCAUCCUAGUGGCUAUUCCACUAUGCUCAUCAACCUAGGUUCCAAUACUCUAGGUCCUAUGUCCAUGUCAUUUGACCUAGAUGCCUUUGCUAGGUUCUUGUCAUCUUUGCCUAGAUGUCUCCUUCUAGGUUUACUAGUUCGACCUAGGUUUACUAACACUAGGUUCGAUGCCACACCAAGAUUGUUCGACUCUAGGUUCACUUGUUUAACCUAUGUUCUUUAACACUAGGUUAGAUGCCACUCGAUCUAUCUGACAACCUAGUUGUCCAAUCAACUCUACUCACACUAGAGUUAUUAUCUCAUACUUUCUACUUGGCAUUUACUCUAUGCAUCUUUAUUCAUCAUGCAUUCUAUUUACUUAGCCUUUACUUUAUGCAUAUUUAUUAAUGCACCAUUUAGUCUUGUCUACAUGCACAUGCAUCAACAUGAGAUUACAUUGCUAAGACAUAAUGGGCGACCUAGUCGCUUCGGAAAGCACAACCCACCUUAGUUAGCUUUCCGAUUGCUUGUCGACACUUGCAAUCGGCCUCCCGCGGCACCCGACACCCUUUUGGGCCCGAUCUCACAAUUGUUCCCCAAGAGCGCGCCGCUUCGCCGUUUCAAGUGCUAGCGAUCUUUGCCUUGCUGCUACGGUGCUCGGGAUCCGAUUUCACGAUUUAUGAAUGUCGCCUCGGCCUCCCAGGCAGAAAUAAAGCUCUGUGCCCCCGUUUCUUCAACGUCUUCGCAACGGCUUGUCGGAUUGCCGAACCGACUUCGCUGGCGUGUUUCGUUACCUACCAAUUAGGUUUACGAAGGGUCAAAUGAGAUCGAACUCAUCUAUUUACAAAAACCCCACUUGGAUGCCCUAGAAUGCCAUCACCAACAAAUCCACCAAAUCCAUCUAUGAUUUGGGUAUAAACCAUCAAAAUAGCAUGCUAGGGUUCCAAACAAACCAUCUCUAGGGUUUAAAAAACCCAUCACAAGAGAUCUACCAUGAGAGGCUUGGAAGCUUACCUCUCCAAGAGCUCCAAGAUGAAGAAGAAGAUGAAGAUGAAGAUGAGGAAGAGGAUCUCCUCCUUGGUCCUCUCCUUCCUUUCCUUUCCUUUCUCUUUUUUUUCUUCUCUUCUCUUUUCUCUUUUCUUUCUUUUCUUCUUCUCCUCCCUUGCACGAUCGAAGAGAGGGAGAGAGGCUGAGGGAAUGAGAGAGAGAGAGAGGAAAAGGUCUCUCUAAUACCCUCUCUCAUUUUGUAACAAUAUCCCCAAAGGCCCCUCCACUCUUCACCUCUUACACAGCCCUUACUGGGCAUUCUGCGCACUGAGGGACCGGUCUCCCCGACCAGGGACGGGUCCCCGGGGCCUCCCCCUGCGGACACAUGUUCGGGAACCGGUCUCUCCCUGAGAGACCGGUCGAGAGACCGGUCCUCGGGAGACCGGUUCCUCUUAGAGAGUCCGGUUCCCGAGAGCCAAACUUUCGGGACUUAGCCGAUUUUCGGCUCUUCUCACUGGUGUCACAGGCUAGGACCGGUCCCUCCUCUGCCAGGGACCGGUUGCAUCAGCAACCCCGCAGCCUUCAGCUGAUGGGACCAGUCUCUCACCUCCAUAGACCGGUCCUCGGGAGCAACUUCAGCCCAAAAUGCUGAUGGCAUUAUUUGCUCUCGUGGACUCCAUUCCGAUGCACUUCUUGGGUUUCGUGCAUCAUUAGCUUUUCCAAAGCUUAUCAACUCGACCCUUGGUCGAUUCCGGACGAAGCACGACUCUCGGAUUUGGAGAAUUCCUGGGUAUGACAUUCUCCCCCUCUUAAAAGAGUUUCGUCCGCGAAACUUACUCGUUUCCAACCCCCUUCUAUUCCUCGAUCCACUCCUCGAGUACUCAAGGGUCCUAAUGCACUUUUGUACUUCGGAGUGGCCUUUAAUCUCAUCGAACUCAUUUAAAGGCCCACGACGAAGAAUGUGAGACCACGUCUACUCACAUUUUCCUCUUGCAACAUCAAAAGUGCAUUAUCACUUUACAAACCUCAAUGGCGGUGUGAGUCAAUACUCAAGACCCCACACACUAACAUCACCAGCCACUCGGCUAAAGAAGGACCUAUUCCUUCGCGGUUCUAGCGAACAUCAUCACCGUUCAAGAUCAGGGCUACCCUUUUAUCCUUGUGGUGUGAAUCUAGCAAGAUCACAUCAACUCGAUGAAUGAUCCACCACCACAACUCUAUGUGCACGGGUAGACCCUCUCGACUCACUCAAAUAUUCACCAGGUGGCACUUCGCCAACCUGGACAUUUGGGAGCCUGAUGCUACCCUAUCAUCUUAUCUGUACUACCACAUUCUCAUCUAUCACGAGAUGGCAUUCUCUCGUGCAUCUUAGAUUCCCGAUCCUCUUGAGAGCAUCGUUCUCAACUCCAACUUUCCACGUGGCUAUCCAUUAUUCAAGUGUCUCCUAGAGACCACUUUACUUUCUCUUUGUCCCUUGAUAUUGUAAGCCACGUUCAUCACCACACGACCCCUGCGUUCUCGAAUCCGAGCCCAACUCACUAAUAGAGUUUUCGGCUAUACCGAUUGUCAGUUUCCUUAAGUGGACCAAAAAGGUCACCAAUCCUGCGUAGGUCAAUCACCUAACUCAUCUCAACGACGCCUAGCGUCUCUCGCUCGCGAACGUAAACCUACUCAGCAUCAGGCGACAUUCUCAUUGGAGAAUUCACGCGCACUCCAAACAGGAGCAUCCAAGUCCUCAAACCUCGUCAAGUCCUCGAGUACGGGUCACUACACCCUCGGUGUACUAUCGAUCUCGCGAUUCAGCACGCGGCAUUCCACGUACACGGGUCUAUGCUCGGACUACCGUCCUGACCUAAACUCUCCGCCCUACCAAUAGGUAUCGGGUCGCUGUCUCUCACAGCUGACUGCGCCUGCCCAAUGGGCCCAGGCUCCACAGUGCACAAAUGGUCCAGGCACGGGUCGUCCCCAAGCACUACCCGCCAACGUCGUCCUACACGACAUGCUCUACAGAGCUACCAACCCUAUGAGUGAUCCAUGGCGCGCUUUACACUUAGCCCUGCUGAAGUGCUACUUCCAAUUCACUCGACCGGCUGAACAGAACCGCACCUCACGAGUAACUAUACUCGAGCGCUCUACGCCUCUAUAGCGUCUCACACGAAGUCUCGCAUCAGGCAACUUAGCCUAUGCGCACCGGCCACACGAGCAACAACUCGUCCACCUCAACUUGAAAUACAACUAGGCCCACAGGCCAAACUCGGCACUAAUCGACCAAUUUCGCAACGGUGGAUCAUUACCCUGUUCGAUCUAUCGAAUCCAUAUCCAAAAUACUCUUGGGAUAUUCGGGUGUCCCCGAACAUCAAGGCUCAACUCUCGCAAUUUCUAAUCCAUUACUUUGAGAGUCCUUUCACCACUCGAUUUCCAUUGCGAGGCUCGUUUUCUGUUCAAAAUCACCACUAGCCAUUUGCUAGUACCCAUUGGCUCUCUACCUGUUCCAGCAGGCGCUAUACUCUCAUCCUGCUAGUAUGCUCGGGUACCUACCAACCCAACCACUUGGUCCCUACUAUGCAAUGCAACAAUAGGAGCAACUGACCAAUGGUGAAUGCAUGCAAUGCAACAACUCGAGAUCAUGCAAAAACAUAUGAUUGCUCAAUUAACUCAUACCUGCCACGACGACGUCGACAACGGCAGGCAUGGCCACUCGGCGCUCGUCGCGAACCCUCUGGUUGCAAUGCCCUCAAUGGCUGCUCCCCUAACCAUGCCGCAGGUGGCAUACCCGCCGGCGGUCCCGAAGAGGUAUGGGCCAUUGCCAGUGUCAAGGCCCAGCUGUCACCCUGCAGACACUCGUCCCGCACAUGGCCCAGUAGCCCACACUUGAAGCACUUGCCCUCACGCUGUUCACACUGUUGUGGGAAAUGAGAGCCCCCACAAAUCAUACAUCUCGCCGAGGACCGAAUGUGGUACGUCCCCGGAGCUCUAGAUCGAGAGCGCAUCCUCACUGAGGUCUGUUGGGAACUUGACUGACUAUCAUGUCGCCUCACUGGCCGUUCUUUCCCUUUUUCCUUAUAAUGCUCCUCGCGCUUCUCCCGCAGAAAUGCAUUGCCUUGUUCUAUCCACAAGGCCCGAUCCAGGACUUCAGCAAAAGUCUGCAACUUAAGCACCAGCACUGCCUGGUACAAGUCUGGCCGAAGCCCCCGCACGAAACAGUCAGCCUUGUCCUCGUCAUCCCGCACCACGUUCGGGACACAAUGCACGAUACGAGAAAAUUUCCGCUCGUAUUGCCUGACCGUGCGACUUCCCUGCCGCAGCUUAAGAAACCUCUCUUGAAGUUUUCGCUUCUCUCUAUCGGGGAAAUAAGCAGAGAAUAUCAUUCCCCGAAACUCUUCCCAUGUCAUAGGAGGGAGACUAGGCAGUCGAUCUCGCUUGACGCCUUUCCACCACACCUUCGCCGACUGUUUGAGAUAAUACACGGCUAGGUUUACCUUGUCUCGCUCCAACGUGUACAGAUUCUCGAAGAGUGUUUCCAUGGAAUCGAUCCACAUCUCAACGACCCACGGGUCUGGAUCUUCACCAUCAAAGGUAGGCGGAUCAAAUUUCUUGAAAGUCAUGAGGGUUGCUAAAGCUCGCUCCCUCUCCGCCGCUACCUCCGGACUAACCAAAGUCGGGUCGCCCGACCCUGACGGAAACAUCUCCGCCGCAACUCCCGGCUGUCCUCGACCAACCGCAGCUGGUGCUGCCACUAGCCGAUCCACAGUUUCUUGGAGUCGCUCCAUUCGCUCCUCCUGGCGCAUGGCAGCCUCCUGCUGGUGCUGCACCAUAUCAACUUGUUGUCUCAUCACUCCAACGAGUGUGGCCAACUGAUCAGGAAGCUUCGAGUCUCCGCUCGCGUCGGUUUGCUCAGGGGCACCACUUGUCCCCUCCCGCGCCGAUCUGGACGAAGAUCGCCUACGCGGUCCCAUCGUUUCCUGAAACAGGACAACUCGAUUAGCUCUCAACCAACUCGGGUUGAACACGAGACCACUAACACCGGCUCAAAAGCCAAUCAGGCGAAAGUCAAGCAAGGACGUCUAUUCUCGUCACUCGGCUUUAUGUUGUGCAUGCCCAACAUAAACACACUUGGUCGAGAAUAAGCCAUACCUUGAGUCUGCCUCUAAUGUCCGUCUUAGAGGUUAUGACACAACCCAAUCCAUUACCUUUCGCCACAAGUCACGAGUCAUCGUCUCUCACGAGCCUUCUACUCCUAUGGUUUCACUAUUCUAGGGUCUCCUAGGUCUGUCUAAACUAUUUUCUUCCCAUUUUCUACUUUAUGCUCUGAUACCACUUUAUCUGUCACGCCCCGCGACCAAUCGCCAAUUUGGACCGGGUCGCGGCGCCGACAACAAACCGCCGAACGGACCGGGGUUUCCCCUGUACGCGAACAGAGUCUCCCCUGUACGUUCUAGGCGUCGCAAUCCAAACAAUCAACGAUUGUUCCAACCAGGAACGGAUAUCAAUCCAGAUUGCAUAAGGAAGUAUCAAAUACAUAAACUACUUGCUAUUACAAGCAUUCAUUUAGUACAACUGAGUUUCAGUUACAUUUUACUUCCAAAUUACAAUCUAAUUAUUACAUCAUUUAGUUUACAAGCUUGAUACAUUUUGAUUCUUGCCUUCUAGUCCCCUAAGCUAGACUCAGGGUACUGCUACCUCGGUCUCUGUGGUAGGGCGCUAUCUAUUGAGCUACGCCCUCGCCUUGCGCCACCGCGCUGCAUACGUACAACCUGAAAACACCCCAAAACCACGUGGGGUGAGAACCAACUCCAUGGUUCCCAGUGGGUACGGCCACCCAAGGGAAAAGCUCGACCGAUAGGUACGAGGAGGCACUGCAACAUGUUAGUUCAACAAUAUACACCAGAUAUAUAUUCAAUUGAAAUAUAUGCCAUGCCUCACGAUAUGCGAUAUGAAAAUCAUGCAACUCUAUGCAACAACUAGUAGAUCAUUAGAUUCUACAUUUACUUGGCUACUCUUAGCACAUAUCUUUACUCUAGGUUUCUACUACCUUAGGUUCACACUCGAGUCCCCUGGCUCCUAAGGUCUCUAUUACCUUAGCUCAAGCCUCUAUCUCUAGCUCAUAAGGGUUCCUCUACCCUAUCGAAGCUAACCACCCGACUCAGCUUCGAGUCAAUCAUCCGCGAAUAGCCCGCGCACCGGCUGCUCAUCAGCCUACCGCCCUCUCUGUCUCAGCCCCCAAGCGGCGAAGUCGUCGCACACGCUAAGCUCGGCUCAAGUCGCACGACUUGACCAUCCGGUGGCGAUCGCGUUGCACUUACCCAGCGUGAGCUCGAGUCCUGACACACCGUCUGGCGGCGAACGGAUCGCACCACACCCAACAACGGUACAUGUCAGACUCAGCCACCUGGAGGCACCCGCAUCGUACUUACCCAGCAUGGAUUCAGUCUGUCCUGGCGGUCUGAUCCUCAAAUGGCUCAACCAUCCUGGCGGCGAAAUCGUCGCACAAACGCCACGGCAAUGGUUCAAGCCCCGGGCGGUGAUCUCCAUGUGAUCGCCCCCAAUCCUCCUUCGGUACCAAGCUCGGCGGCGAAGUCGUCGCACAAACGCCCUAGCUUCUACCAGGGUCAUCACAAGUCAUAGGAUUCCGGAAUCCACUUUCCAAAGGUCGAGGGUCCAUAACCAACCCUAUACUUUCGACCUAUCUCAUCCUAGUGGCUAUACCACUAUGCUCAUCAACCUAGGUUCCAAUACUCUAGGUCCUAUGUCCAUGUCACUUGACCUAGAUGCCUUUGCUAGGUUCUUGUCAUCUUUCCCUAGAUGUCUCCUUCUAGGUUUACUAGUUCGACCUAGGUUUACUAACACUAGGUUCGAUGCCACACCUAGAUUGUUCGACUCUAGGUUCACUUGUUUAACCUAUGUUCUUUAACACUAGGUUAGAUGCCACUCGAUCUAUCUGACAACCUAGUUGUCCAAUCAACUCUACUCACACUAGAGUUAUUAUCUCAUGCUUUCUACUUGGCAUUUACUCUAUGCAUCUUUAUUCAUCAUGCAUUCUAUUUACUUAGCCUUUACUUUAUGCAUAUUUAUUAAUGCACCAUUUAGUCUUGUCUACAUGCACAUGCAUCAACAUGAGAUUACAUUGCUAAGACAUAAAGGGCGACCUAGUCGCUUCGGUAAGCACAACCCACCUUAGUUAGCUUUUCGAUUGCUUGUCGACACUUGCAAUCGGCCUCCCGCGGCACCCGGCACCCAUUUGGGCCCGAUCUCACAAUUGUUCUCCAAGAGCGUGCCGCUUCGCCGUUUCAAGUGCUAGCGAUCUUUGCCUUGCUGCUACGGUGCUCGGGAUCCGAUUUCACGAUUUAUGAAUGUCGCCUCGGCCUCCCAGGCGGAAAUAAAGCUCCGUGCCCCCGUUUCUUCAACGUCUUCGCAACGGCUUGUCGGAUUGCCGAACCGACUUCGCCGGCGUGUUUCGUUACCUACCAAUUAGGUUUACGAAGGGUCAAAUGAGAUCGAACUCAUCUAUUUAUAAAAACCCCACUUGGAUGCCCUAGAAUGCCAUCACCAACAAAUCCACCAAAUCCAUCUAUGAUUUGGGUAUAAACCAUCAAAAUAGCAUGCUAGGGUUCCAAACAAACCAUCUCUAGGGUUUAAAAAACCCAUCACAAGAGAUCUACUAUGAGAGGCUUGGAAGCUUACCUCUCCAAGAGCUCCAAGAUGAAGAAGAAGAUGAAGAUGAAGAUGAGGAAGAGGAUCUCCUCCUUGGUCCUCUCCUUCCUUUCCUUUCUUUUCUCUUUUUCUUCUUCUCUUCUCUUUUCCCUUUUCUUUCUUUUCUUCUUCUCCUCCCUUGCACGAUCGGAGAGAGGGAGAGAGGCUGAGGGAAUGAGAGAGAGAGAGGAAAAGGUCUCUCUAAUACCCUCUCUCAUUUUGUAACAAUAUCCCCAAAGGCCCCUCCACUCUUCACCUCUUACACAGUCCUUACUGGGCAUUCUGCGCGCUGAGGGACCGGUCUCCCCGACCAGGGACCGGUCCCCGGGGCCUCUCCCCGCGGACACGCGUUCGGGAACCGGUCUCUCCCUGAGAGACCGGUCCUCGGGAGAUCGGUUCCUCUCAGAGAGACCGGUUCCCGAGAGCUAAACUUUCGGGACUUAGCCGAUUUUCGGCUCUUCUCACUGGUGUCACAGGCUGGGACCGGUCCCUCUUCUGCCAGGGACCGGUUGCAUCCGCAACCCCGCAGCCUUCAGCUGAUGGGACCGGUCUCUCACCUCCAGAGACCGGUCCCCGGGAGCAACUUCAGCCCAAAAUGCUGAUCGCAUUAUUUGCUCUCGCGGACUACAUUCCAAUGCACCUCUUGGGUUUCGUGCAUCAUUAGCUUUACCAAAGCUUAUCAACUCGACCCUUGGUCGAUUCCAGACGAAGAACGACUCUCGGAUUUGGAGAAUUCCUGGGUAUGACACAGGCUCAAGUUUUGGGCUCCUGAAACAUGGAUCAGAAUAUUUUUGGAUCCUACUGAAAGCUUACUUGAGCUGUUAUGGAGCAUUCUGAAGGCACAUUCGGACGCCCAGAAAACAAGUUCUGGGCUCCCAAAAGUUCUUGUCAACAAUUGUGGCGUGUGUGCUGACUAUGUCAGAAAUUUUCGGCGUAGCAGAAGUGGGCGGCCGAAAACUAUUUUUGGGCACCUGAAAGUCAAAGUCCAAAAUUUCGGCGCACGUGGACUGAUUGUGUUAGAAAAAUUUUGGCGCGCGAGCACAGGAAUGCUGGGCAUCCACAAUUGACUUUUGGGCACCCGAAUAUCCAAAGUCCAGGUUUGCGGCACACAUGCACUGACUCUGUCAAAGAUUGUAGCGCAUGUGCAAGGACUUAUGGGCGCCCAAACCCCUAAAGUAGGUGCCCGAAAGUGGAACCUCUAGCACAAAUCCAAGGCUAUAAAUAGAUGGUUUGGGUGGUUAUGAGGUAUCCAACUGAGCUCUUGAGCCUAUAAAAACUUAGUGUUCUAUACUCUUAGCUAUCUACUCUCUCUCUAAACUUCUAUAGUGAGAUACAAUCUUGUAAAAGAGAGAAGAAUACUGUGAAAAAGUGUAAUCUUCUUGAGAGAAGUUGUUGGUGUGAAGGCUUGGUGCUUGCCCACAAAAGUAUCAUCUAGUGGAGAUCCAAUGUUCUCGCGUGUUGAGAAAUUGGCGAGGACGUAGGCAAAAUGCAGAACCUCGAAAUAAAUGGAUUGUGUGCUUCUUGAGUUUGUAUUUCUCCAACUCUAUUAUCCUUCUUGUUUGAUUUGAUUCAUAUAUUUUCUUUUCCUGAUUUUUAGCAUUUUUAUUUUAGAAACCUAAUUCACCUCCUUAGGUUGCUAUUUCGAUCCUCAGAACUUACAAACAUGCAAUGCAACAUUAUCCGUUAAACUUGUCAUUUUUGAGAUGUUUUGAGCAUUUAACAAAUGAUAUUGAAAAAUUAUUAAUUUAAUUUCUAAAUAGUUAAAAUGUGUAGAUCAUGUCUAGCAGGCCCGAUCGUUAAAUUAGAUGUACUAUAAUCAAAAAUAAAUUGAAAGUGGGAAGACCUCUAUUUUUUUCGAAAGUACAAGAUUGGACUCUAACAUAGAUAUUUAUAAUUAUGAACAUAUGAAUCAAAUGUAGAUUCCUAUUUCGUCCUUUCAUCGAAUGACUUUGAGUAUAAAUCAUAUUGGUUGAGAUUACUUGAAUAUGCCAAAAAUUUCACUGCAGAUAUCUGAAAACCUCAUGGAAACUUUUAUAUAGGAUAUAUAAUAUAUUAUUAUAUAAAUAAAUUAUAUAUAUAUAUAUAUAUAUAUAUAUAUAUAUAGUUUUGAUCCUAGGAUAUUUGUACAAGUAUCAUCCCCGAUUUGCUAUUAUGUUUUAGCCGAUUGAUCUACUUUUUUUAUACAAAUAGCCCUGGAUCAAACGCAUUGCCAUCCUAUCCAGCACUUAACCACAUCCCUACCCACCAAUCCAUCUCACCUCACAUCUCUCAUAUCGCAAGGGCUAAAAACACACAGAUCACUUGGGUGAGACCUUAACAAGUAUCUAGCCCUUACUAAUAUUAUAUAUAAUAUAUUAUAUAUACCGGACUAGCUAUUAAGCUAUUAAUAGCACCAAUCAUUUGUGCACCAGUUUUUGCCUAUUGAUUAAAGAGGUAUGUGCGGUAUGAUGAUGUGGGGCCCUCUAGGGUUUGAGUGGUUGUUGGUUGAAUAGUAAUAAGAUCUCAACGGGUGAAAAUGAUCAAAAGGGUAGAGAUCUUAACGGCGUGAAGAACUUGUAGCACCAACGUGCUUCGUGCUAUUAAUAGGCAUAAGCCGACUCCUCUCUCUCGCUCGUCUGCGUCGCCGUCUCUCCCGCUCACAGGCCCAAUCUCGAUCUCUCCCCUCCGACACCGUCGUGUUCGUAGAACAAACGAUCCUCGUCGGCUCGUCUCCAUCUCGCCUCUCUCUCUCGUCUCUUAAUAUAUAUAUAUAUAAUAUAAUAUAUAUAUAUAUAUAGUCGCGGCAGGAUGUUUAUGGAAUAAAAGCAACCAGCGCGAGGAUCCGCUGCUUACUACUUUGUUUCGAUGUUCGGACUUUCAAAUCGACGAUCGGCUCCGUUAGACUUGAUUUAACGAUAAUUGAAGUUAUGCAGAAAUAAAUUUUGGCGAUUUUGUUAUAUCAUUUGCUUAGUGAUCGAAGUGGCUCAAAUCAACGGUGAAAAAAAAAUCUUCGAAAAUAUGAGAUAUGACAUUAAAUUUUAGAUCAAAGUUAUUGAUCUUGUUUAUAUGGUAUAAAGAAUUUCUAUCAUAAAUUUCAUGUGAUUUGGAUAUUCUCUACACCGUUAAACUGCAACCGGCAUCACACGCCGUUAAAAUUAUUGAUUUUGAGCUCUUUCGAUCACUAGGCAAAUGAAUCGAAAAAUCAACAAAAUUAAUUUCUAGGUAACUCAAGUACUCUAGAUCAACUCUAACGGGAGCGAUCACUACGCUUUAAAUCCGAACAUCGAAAACAACUUGAACAAUCGGAGGACUCCGUGCUUCCAAUAAGAUACCCCCCACCCCUGCCGCACUAUCCAUAUAUAUAUAUAUAUAUAAAGGACAGCGGGUAGUGAUGGAUGUGAGGAGAUGAGAGAGAGACAGAGAGAUGAGUAGAGAGAAGUAGCAGGACUGGCUGUCUCUCAGGAGCACAGGAGGCCUCCGUGCUCCUGAGCCGUUUAUCGAUGAUGGAAUUUCCGAAUCGACGAUCGGCUCUGUUAGCACUUGAUCUUGCGGUAUUUAACAGUUUCUAGAAAAUAUUUUUUGUGAUUUUUUUGAUAUCAUUUACCUAGUGAAUCGAAAGAUUCAAAAUCAAUAAUUUUGUAAUGGUUUAAUCUGCCGUUUUCAAAGUUUAACAGAUGUUAGAAGUAUUCAAUCAGAUGAAUAUUGAUACAAAAUUCUUAUAACUAUCUAAACAAGAUCAAUAUUUCUGAUCGAUAAAUUUUAGUUGCUAUGUCACCACUUUUUAUAAAUU
rnacentral:lncRNA from 1 species